CUCCUGAAGGUCAUGGCCCUUGGUCUGAUGGAUCUUGCAGUACGGCCAUCGCCUUUCCCAGCUUUCUCGGUGGCAGCGGCUUCCCAGCAGGCAGUGCAAGUGGCAGCUUCCUUGCCGGGGGCCUCAGCCUUGGCCUUCUUUCCGGUUCUAGGUGUGCCCGAACCUUCCAUAGUCAUCACUGCCUUAUCUCUUGGCUUCUUACUGCACUUCUUGCCCUUUCUUUGACUAGUUGAUUCAUUCUCAUCCUCUGAAUCAACACUGGCGCAAUCUUCCUCUCUGGGCAACUUCCUUCCUUCCUCCAUCCGAGCACACUUAUCCACCAGCGUGUAUAGCUCCUUCAUAGUCUUGGGAACCGCAUGUUCAUCUUAGAAUGAAUGCGAUGGUUGCGCACAUUGGAUUGGAAAGCUGCUAUAACAGCUGCAGGAUGGAUAUUUGGAAUAUUUCUAUGAACUUUACUGAAUCUCUGCAAAUACUUACGGAGAGUUUCUCCUUCCUUCUGCUGAAGAAGUUGCAGGUCGCUGGGCCUGCCGGGCUCUUGGUGGCCAUCGGUGAAGGCACCGAUGAACUCGUGGCAUAGGUCUGCCCUUGACAAAAUGGAUUUCUCCGGCAGGUGCAUUAGCCAAGACCUCACUGUCGGCGUUCUGGGAACGGGGGUCCCCAGACUUGCCUACCUGCGGGCCACGGCGUGGCUGUGCUAGAAGGCCUGUACAGCCCAUCUUCAUCAACAAGGCAUUCAAGACCCUCGCGAGGGGCCAAGCCUCACGAGGCAGACGACACAAGACCUCCUCAGGAGCGGCCUCACCGGGUUGGCUCAUGAGGGGCGGAGAGAUCAAGGCAAGGCAAACCUCGCGAGGUUCUCGUGACGCGAGCCAUGACGAUCAAGAUCAGGCGGGCGCCAGCGCAUGCAGCGUCCUUGUUUCCUCUUUGGUGCUAAGGAGGCAAGCGCAGGCACGGAGUACCGAGGCAUCAAGCAAAGGUUUCCAUAUCAGUACAACGAGACCAAGACCAGCAGGACGGCAGGACAGAGGUCACCAUGGAGCCCAAGGCAGCAUCACCACCAGAGCCUUUUGCAGGCGAAGAACGCUUUUGUCAGGAUAAGCUAUACUAGUUGUCCCCUUUCAAAUUGGCCGUUGUUGGCUCCCUUCCCGCUCAAUAUUUGGGGAGAGGACCAGGGCAUAUAUAAGUAGAACUAGCCACCACCGUAGGGGAUAACUCAUUUAGAGGCAUCUCAUCUGAUCCUUAGCCACACACCAAGCACAAGAACACCUCAACCUCAGGAGGCUGUUCUUCCCCUUGUAUUGUUCACCAUCAGCCCAAGAGGCAAUCCACCACCACCACACUGGAGUAUGGUAUUACACCACAACGGUGGCCCGAACCAGUAUAAAUCUUGUGUCUCUUGUGUUGUGAGUUCAUUGAGUUCGUCCGCGAGAUCUUAGCAAGCUAGGGCGUGGAUCGGUAGGAGGAAAGAACUUCGCGGGCACCCAGAGUUCAAACCUUAAGGGUUUUGCCGGAACCCAUGAUUCGACAUUUGGCGCGCCAGGUAGGGGUGCGCCGGAGUCUCUUCCCCACCAGUUGAUCCGCCGACGCUCCGCGGUUCCGAUGUCCGGCGACCCAAGGGCUAACGCCGACCGCUGGGCAGCCUGGCCAGCCCGGGCGGCGCCGCCUACCCAGGAAGACCUCAACCCCGCGCUCCAGGCGCCGUCCACCCUCACUCCACGACAAGUGUGAGCCGCUGCGAGGGCCGCAAGCCACGCCGUAGCAACGGCGCCACACACCUGGCGGGAGCAGGCGAACAUGCGGGAAGCACUCACGGUGGCACGAGAGCUGCUGCGGUGCCGACUAAUGGAGAGCGGCCAGGAUGCGCUGCUGGAACGCGGCGGCCACGGGAGCGCCGCCCUUCUACUAUCAGCUCACGCCUCAGGCGGCGGCCGGGUCCCACGGCGGGCCUCGCCGCGCCCGCGUGUUCCCGGGCGCACCCGGGGGCCUCGUCGACAUCAACAUGUCCCACGGUGGAGGGCGCCCUGCUGCGCCCGCACCACCCCAGAUGGGUGCGGGCACAAGUGUUGCCGCGUACGGCCCCAUCGGAGCACCGCCCUGCCAUCCUCAGGACAGCAUGACAGGCCGAGCAACAUGGAGUGUGGGGCACUUCGGCGAGGUCUUCGAGGCAGCGGCCUCAGAGGCCUAUGUGCCCCGCAUGAUGGACCAGGAGUACAAGCCGGAGGAUGACCCUGGCUCAUUCCUCGGGGCAGGUUGGGAGGAGGAGGCGUUAGGAGCUGAAGCCUUCCAGGAGCCGGCAGAGAGCCCCACCAGCCACGCCAUCGACAAUAGAUAUAGGGUACCACUAAUCCCUCAGGAGCAAGCUUACGCUAACCAUGAGUCACAGGGGUAUCAGGUCACCACAGCAGCUGGCGGCCCCAGCUCGGCGACCUCCCUUCCGCCAGGGGGAUCGCGCUGGGGGCUGCAGGAGAGGGGUCAGGAGCCAGAUCCCUCCCCGUGUCGCACGGAGCAAGGCGCCCCCCAGAAGUAGGCCCUCUGCUGGGGAGGUGCUGAAAAGCCUACCCCCGACAGAGGACCCGUGGUCGCCGAGGGCGCUGCUGGCAUCCCCUUUGCCCCUUUGGUGGCAUCCUCGUUUCCGGUCGCCCCCAACGGUGGCCGAGGGAGGCGCAAUGUGGUGCCCUCGUCUGGCGAUAUGAAGUAAGGCUCACGCCUGUGAAGAUCCCCGCCGGUGACACUCUCACGUAAUAAUGAGUGGGGCUGUACACGCCCCGGAGUCUCCGGAGAGCCACCCUCGGGCCUCGGGGGCUCCCUCCCAUGUCCUAGUGGCAGCACUUAGCUCCGCGCUGGUGAGAAGACUCGAAGACCAGAAGACUAGACUAGGUGCCAGACGCGGCCAUUUGCUUUGGAUCCCUUUUCUGUAGCCUUGCCUUCUGGAUUUGGAUUUAAGCUAAAGCUGAAUUUUUAUCAAUGUGCGCGGGGGUGUCUUUUUUCGUUCAAGAGAUUUCUUGCUAUCUGGUUCUUGCCUUAUUCUAAAGCUUGCGCUCGCUGCCUCCCCCUCGCGGGCCCCUCGCGAGCGGGGCUGGGCGCAGCACACGCACCGUGCGCGCCGGUCGGCACUUGAUCCUCGUGAGGCCCUCUCGGGCGGAUCAGCAGACCCUUCGGGAGCUCCGCGGGAACUCACGACCUUACAAUCUAGUUCGGGGCCCGCCUCAGCUAAGGUAAGCUGCAACAGCAAAACUUGCCAUCAGACUCAUGGAUCCACAAAGGCGCACACUCGGCUUAGCAUAGAAGAGUAAAAAUUGUGAUGUGUUUACAUGAGGGGCUCCCUCUCUCAAAAUGCUCUCACAAUCUUUAUGGGCCACACCCAAGUUUUUGCAUACAGGGUAAAACAGUAAGGAAACAUGGGAUCAGCUAGAUAUGUCGCCGCCGCGUCUUCCAGGUCGUCUUCAGAUGCACCGCUGGCGUCGCUGUCGCCAUCGCUGGCAUCGCCUCCACCUUCAUCAGCCCCGGCAUCGCCGCUGUCAACCAUGUCGCCUUCGUCUGCGGCCACCACCACCGCGUCGUCUUCAGAAGCGAAGGCUCUGACCAGCGCAUCCACGUUGUCCUCCACCCACCGCGCCAGGUCGUCCCGGAUGGCCUGGGGUACGGGGGCAAUGGCGGCGUCGAAGUCGGGGAAGGUGUUCCGAAGAUGGCUGAAGACACAGGAGAACGCGCGCCCGAGCAGGCCCCGGCUUCUCUCUUCCACAAGCUGGCGAGCUCUAUCAGACCGGGCUUCCAGGCGCGUCACCACGUCGGCGAAGAAGCGCAGGUGACUGGCGUAGUCAUCCGAGUGGGGAUGCGGUGCAUUCUCGUCACAGACAUGGCCCAGCGCCGCAUUGGCCCUGACCCUGAGGUCCUGGAGCAUGGGGGCGUGCUCGCGCUCCAAUAUCCGCCGUUGAAGCACUUCUUCCCUGUUUUGCCGCGCGACGGCCUCGGCAUCAUCAACCCGUUUCUGAAGAGAAAGCAGCUCGGCGCGGGCGGAGGCCAGGUCCGCCUGCGCCGUGACCAGGGCGGCCGCUGUGGCCUCCUCGCGCCUCUCUACCUCAGCUAGCCUGGGCCUAAGGGCAGCGGCCCUACCUGCAGCCUCCAUCUCCGCAAGCUGCAGCUUUAGGCCAUGCCAACUCUCAAGACCCGCGCGAACCUCGGCCACCCGACGGUCGACCUCCUCCUGAGCUUUGGCCUCGCAUGCACCAACGACAUCUUCUGCUUGGGCAACCUGACGCUCCCUCGUCUCCAACCGCUCAAGCUCGAGGCUACGCUCCACGGCUUCCAGAGCCAACGCCUCCUCGCGCCUCCGGACCUCUUCUUCCUUGGCGGGCGUACCCCUCAGCAAUGCAAGGGCAGCUUUGUGCGCCUCCACCUGCUACUCUAGGGACGUGCUCCAGGCCUGGAGCUCCCACGCGCGCUUCUCCGCAGCCUCGCGACGGCGGUCGGCCUUGCGAGCUUCCUCCAAAGCUCUGGAGCAAGCCUCGCGAGAGACCUUAAGGGACGCCUCGGCCUUCGCAUGUCAAGAUCACGUUGACGACAACCGAGGUUGAUAGCCACCUUCAACUUGUGCCACUCCUCCGCCAACCGAAGAUCCUCGGCCUCAAGGCGCGCGUCGACACCCUCGAGUUCUUCACCGAGUCGGUUCAUCGCGCCCAUCGCCUCCUGGAAGAGCCCAUGACGAACAAUGCUCCGCCCGCGCUCGAACUCAAGCGCACGGCCCAUCUCGUCCUCCGCCGCUGGGGCUGUGAGCGAGGCCUGGAGCGGUGCGCCCCCUCUCAGCAGGGGGCUGGGGGCUGGCGUUGCCCCAGGCGCCAGCCGGACCUCGCGAGGGGCCCGAACUAGACGGGGCCAGUUGCCUGAAGAGGAGCCGAAGACCGAAGCCAACUAGCUGCUGUCCAUGACCGGAGGAGGGGCCCUGGGCACGCCCGCCAAGUUCCGAGCCAGGCCAUGGAGGAAGGACGAUGAGACCGUAGAUUCGAGGCGCCGUGGAGGCAAGCGUGUCUCUCCAACCGACCCUGCUCCAGGGACAGCAUGCAGGCUCGAGGCGCUCAAGGCCAGCGGGGGAGUCGAGGAAAGAGGAGGCUGCUCCUCAGGAGAUGCAGCAGCCUUGGUGGAAGGGACCCUGAAGGACCACCGUUAGGAAGGAAAGCAGCACUCAAGAAAUCACUAAGGUAAAGUACUUACUCGUCGAUGGCGAUGUACUUCCUUCGCUUCAACGGCCACCGCUGCUGCUCGGGGAUCCUUUCCUCUUGCGGAGCUCCUCGAAAUCCACGCAAAGCCGGCCGAAGCGCUGGACGUGGCGACCAGCACGGGGUGCGACUGGAGAAGCGCUCGAAGGGACAGCUUCAGGGGUGCCGGGCUGCGGAGAGCAGACGGGCACCGUCUCAUCGCGACCUCCCGAGACCUCUGGUGCUUCGGCCUCGGGAGCCGCAUGCUGCAUCGUCUCAGCGACUGACACCUCAGGGGAAGGAUCGUGAGUUCCUGAGGACGACAGCCCAGGAGCACCAUACGACAUCUGCACCUCAGCACUCGGGCCGCCAGCCUCCGGCGGUGCUCGGCCCCCUGCAUCCACCUUCGGGGCGAGCUCAGCGCCAGUGACGGAGAAGGGAACUACGUCGACGGGGUUCUCGCGGGGCCCCACCAGGCCGUCCGGACGGAGCCCCCACUCAUCAAAGGAAGGCAUGCUCUCUACAAAUUCAUCCUUGUUCGUGCAGCGAUACAGCAGACAGCUCUUCCCAGGCAUGUCGUCCGGCGAAGGGACACCUGUCAUGACCCCGAGCACUAUUUGUCGUGUCUCAAGAGGGAGCCCGGACUCCUGAAGCCUCAUAUGGUCCUGACUGCUGAGCAAAGCCCACAUCGGGCGAGAAUGGCGCUGAAGCGGAGCGACUCGGCGCCUGACGAACUCUUUCACCACCAUAGGCACAGUCACGCCGCGGUCCUUCAACCUCCUCAGCCUGAGCCAGAUGGGGACCAGACAGGAGCUCGCGAGCCUCUCGUGGCCCCAACCAGAGUUGGGAACGGCAGGUGCUGAUGGAGAAUGGAGCAGAGGGCUGAGCACCCUGGCGUCGACAAAUACCCACCGUGUAUGAAACUCGCUCGUGAAUGGAGGAAGCUCAAAGUCGAUCCCCGCGCCUGCCGUCGCAGCCAUAGCCUGGAAGCUCACGCACCCCGAGCUUUGCUGAGGGUCCAUCAGAUGCAAUUAGAAGAAAUGACGGAGAAGGGCCACGGAAGGGGCAAUGCCCACCAUGGCCUCACACACAAAGGUGAAGACGGCGAGGAGAGUCACGGAUUGGGGGUCGAGAUACAGCAUGUGGAUCUGGUAAUGUUCAAGCACCGCGUUGAAGAAGGUGGAGAAAGGGGGAAUCAGGCCGGCCCAAAGGGCAUCGAUGAAGAUUGGGACAUCGGUGGCUGCCCGGUCAAUGCGAGCGCGAGACGCAGGCCAAGCCACCGUCCUUCCCCACUCGUUGAAGCUGGUCGCGAGCAUGGGACGCACCUUGCCCAUGGCCUCAUCGUUGAGCACCAGCGACCGGCCAACUGCGGGCUCGACGGCCGGAGGCGCACUUGUCGAAGAUAGAGGCUUCUUCCCCUUGUCCGCUUGUCUCGGUGCCAUGGGGAUGGAGUGAGCAGAGCUCGGGUCAGAUCGGAAGGAAGAGCUGAGUCUCGGGGAAACAGAGGAAUUGGGGAGGUAUGGCGCAGGCGAUGGAAGAAUAAUUGUGUAAGGUGCAGUGGCCGCCUAGCCAGAUAGGUAUCAAGGCAGCAUGGGGAAGCGGAGAUGCCCACGUCCAAUCAACCGCCACACGUCGACCAAGGCCGCAGGCUUUUAGGGCCCGCGGCGCUCCGCACUUGACCUUUGGCUUCGCCUCGAAGCCAAGCCGGAGCGCGCCUUCGGCCCGGGGGCUACUGUCGGCGUUCUGGGAAUGGGGGUCCCCAGACUUGCCUACCUGCGGCCCCUGGCGUGGCUGUGCUAGUAGGCCUGUACGGCCCAUCUUCAUCAACAAGGCAUUCAAGACCCUCGCGAGGGGCCAAGCCUCGCAAGGCGGAUGACACAAGACCUCCUCAGGAGCGGCCUCACCAGGUUGGCUCGUGAGGGGCGGAGAGAUCAAGGCAAGGCAAACCUUGCGAGGUUCUCGUGACGUGAGCCAUGACGAUCAAGAUCAGGCGGGCGCCAGCGCGCGCAGCGUCCUUGUUUCCUCUUUGGUGCUAAGGAGGCAAGCACAGGCACGGAGUACCGAGGCAUCAAGCAAAGGUUUCCAUAUCAAUGCAACGAGACCAAGACCAGCAGGACGGCAAGACGGAGGUCACCAUGGAGCCCAAGGCAGCAUCACCACCAGAGCCUUUUGCAGGCGAAGACCGCUUUUGUCAGGAUAAGCUGUACUAGCUGUCCCCUUUCAAAUUGGCCGUUGUUGGCUCCCUUCCCGCUCAAUAUUUGGGGAGAGGACCAGGGCCUAUAUAAGUAGAACUAGCCACCACCAUAGGGGAUAACUCAUUCAAAGACAUCUCAUCUGAUCCUUAGCCACACACCAAGCACAAGAACACCUCAACCUCAGGAGGCUGUUCUCCCCCUUGUACUGUUCAUCAUCAGCCCAAGAGGCAAUCCACCACCACCACACUGGAGUAGGGUAUUACACCACAACGGUGGCCCGAACCAGUAUAAAUCUUGUGUCUCUUGUGUUGUGAGUUCGUUGAGUUCGUCCGCGAGAUCUUAGCAAGCUAGGGCAUGGAUCGGUAGGAGGAAAGAACUUUGCGCGCACCCCAGAGUUUGAACCUUAAGGGUUUUGCCGGAACCCGUGAUCUGACACUCACGUUGGACUUGAGGGCCAAAGGGAAGUAGUUGGCGAACACCUUCUCUUCUCUUCCCCCAGCAGCCUGAACAAUGAUGGUGUAGACGCUCAGGAACUCUGCCGGGUUCAGCCUCCCAUCGUACUUCUCAGGUAUCUCUGGCCUGAACGUGUGAACGGACGGCCAACGGACUUGCCGCAGUUCUCGUGUAAAGACAGGGCAGCCGACCUCGAAAGGUAGGCACCUGCCAACACCGAGCGCAGGCCCGUCGACGUUGAGGCCGUUGCACCCGUCAGUCUGGCGGAGGUCGUCGUAACGUCGAUCUAUGACGACGCGCGCCUCCCCCCGUCGCCUACCCUCCGGGGCUAGAAGUUGGCCUGGACAUGCUCGAGGAUCAGAAGAGGCCAUCGAGACGUCGUCGGGGUCUUGAUUCUGCUGCACCCGCACCGGCUGCCAUGGUGGGGACUGCACCGUGGGGACGGCCCCCUCUGUUCGACCAGCAGUACGGGCGGUUGUUGCUGCUUGGGGAGGUCGUGGCGGGCCAGCUCAUCAUGAGCCCCCAGCUUUGGUGAAACCGAGCAGGCUUUGGAUGGUGGCACGCCAUUCAUCCAUCAGCUCGGCUGCUGGCGAAAACCUCAGUAGCAGCUGAGCUCGCGCCAUAGCUUCCGUGGUUGUGCUUGGCAUAGAUGUUGAUGACAUCAACUGCACCAUCGCCUAGCUCCUGACGGUGCCAGCGGUGGCGGCGGUGCCACGCCCACGCUGUUGUGGGACGACCACCUGGGCAGCGGGGUUGCGUGGCGGUGGUGCUCGAGGGUCAGCGGCUCCGUCGAGCGAUGCGGUCUGGUUGGCUCGUCCAGGAGGAGGCGCACGCGCCGCGGUCACUCCCAUGGUGGGGACGGCCGGAGGGUGAUGGCUUACCCCGGACCGAGCGUCGUUGCUGCAGCUGUGCCCGUCGGUGGGAGGAGGGGGUGCGGACGGAGUGACCCCCUCGCCCGCACCUUGCGGAGCGUGACCGUGGAGGCGCUGCUGAUGAUGUUCUCCUCUGAUAUCUCCUGCCCCCGUGUCGGCCGCGAGGGAAGUGGUGAUGGCGCCACCUGCUCCAUCCACGUCCCUAGCAGCGUUCACGUCCUCGCUUGCCUCUGCAUCCCUCGCGGCAUUAGAGGCCACGGGCGGCGGAGCCUUUGAGGUGGACGGAUGGGCCGAAGUACCGGACUUCUUCUUGGGCGCCAUGGUCGAUGGCGUCGUCAAAGAUGAGGAUGGUGAUGAAGAUGACGCGCUGCACACGCUUUUAGGUUCACGCAAGCGAUCCCCCUACCUGGCGCGCCAAAGAUGCCGCGGGAUAUCCGCGGCCACCUAUGGGACCAGGAGGCCCCUUGCUGGUUCGGCAGGGGACGUCGCAUUGCACAAAGAGUAUACCAGCGUACGGCAGCACGGCAGAGAGCACACAAGCAAUUUACCCAGAUUCGGGCCGCCGCGAGGCGUAAAACCCUACUCCUGCUUUGGUGGAUUGAUGGUGGAAUUGAGGUGGUGAAGUGUAGUACACUUGCCCGGCAGGGGUUGCCUUAGGGCAGUAGCGACUACACGCGUAUGGGGUUGUGAGUUCAUCGACUUUCUAACCCUUUCUAUGGGUGCCAUGGGCCUCCUUUUAUAGAUCAAGGGGUCACCACAAUGGCAAAGUAGUCAUUAUGCACUGAUAUGAUAGCAAACAGCGCUAUCAUACCUAACUCUACGGGCCGAUAGGGCGCAUUAAAUGCACUGCUUAGUGUCACAUCACUUGUUGCCCGAAAAGGCUUGCCGGGCUAUCUUGCCAGCUCCGCGCCUGUUCUCUUGACACGUCGCAGGACGGGUGUCAUCUGUGGGUUUCUUCUGUAGGAAAUGGUUGUCAUGUGGCGAAUGGCUGCCACUUUAUCACAUUGGGGCUUGCACCGCACUGAUCGACGACGUGGGUCGUGCUUGAGUGGUUGGUGAGGUGGUUUUGCCUCCGCGAGCCCUGGCAGGCCCUGUCGGGGCGCCUCGGGCGCCUACUUCUGGGGGUGGCCUGGCCCCUUGCCGGGCUUGCCUGUUCGGCAAGGGAGGCCCUUCUCUUGGCGAAAUCUUGCUCCUCUGGCUUGGCCUUAGUCUCUCUGAGCUGCAUGUUGGUUCUUCAAAUCUCUUGAUUCUUUGAACUCUGACUUGGGCUGGUGCUUCAAUCUUGCUCUUGUGCAUGUGCACAGUCUGAGCAAUAGACCCAGGGUUUGUUGCACCGACAGCUAAUUUAGGCAUUAAGCUCGAUUACGCCUCCGUAUAUCACCCUCAAACAAACGGUCAGGUAGAAUGGGCUAAUGGCCUGAUAAUGAGUGGCAUCAAACCCAGACUAGUGCGAUCCCUAUGGGAGUCAGAUAAACAUUGGGUCGAGGAACUCGAUUUUGUACUCUGGGGACUGCGGACUACGCCCAAUCGCACGACCGGAUACACCCCUUUUUUAUGGUGUACGGCGCAGAGGCUGUCUUGCCCUGCGACAUUAUUCAUGACUCACCUCGGGUGCGUAUGUAUGAAGAGAUAGAGGCCGAGCUCGAUUGGCGGAACGACUUAGACGGCAUGGAGGAGGAGCGUGACAUUGCAAAAGCCCGUUGCGCAUUUUAUCAACAACAUGCUUGGCGAUACCAAAGCAGAGAAGUGCGGGCCAAGACUUGUAAUGUCGGCGAGCUCAUUUUACGCCUCCAAGAGAAGAAGAAGGACAAGCUCAAACCGAAAUGGGAGGGGCCCUUCAUUGUAGAUGAUGUUCUCACAGGAGGGGCCUAUCGCCUUCGUAAUGCAUCGAAUAACUGCCUAGAGUCAAAUCCAUGGAACAUUGCUCGGCUCCGAAGAUUCUAUGCCUAAGAUUCGGCCAUGUUUCUUUUCCGUUUUCUCUCCUCUUCAUUUCUUUUUUUUCUUGUUUUUAUACGACUCCUAGGAUAUGUUCGGAUAGGCUGAACACUUAAGGGGUACACAUCCUAAAAUGUAUAUACCCCACGACACCUGGGGGCUUCUUUAACCGAAGCUUAUUAUUAUUUAGAGCCUAGAGCUCAAAAUGUAUACGUCGUUUGUUCAUAUACACUCCUUUUGCCAUUAUAUGCACCUCUAUGACUUAAGUUUUUGCCAAGCUAGGUUGUCUUGCUCCUGUGUUUAUGCCCUACGUUCCCGAUUGUUCGGCUAUGGCAUAAAGGGAGCACCUCUGCGAUUGUUACAACCAGGUCAUCCGGAUAUGUACCUCAGAUGGGUGAAGCCAGAAGCUAGCGUUCUUAAGAGAAUAAAUCGUCGGCAAUCAAACAACAGAUUGUUACAUUAUCGUAACCCUUCUAACACUACGGGAUAGUUUUUCCGUUAUACGGCCUAACGCCCAGGUACGCAUAAUUCAAGCAUGCCAUCCCAAGGAAAGGAACCCUUAACGGAACUAUUCUCCUUGGAAGAUGUUCCUUACAUACGUAAUAUAACAUACCGUCCGAACUAAAAAAUUUGUCUGUUCAAGCAUAAUGACUGGGUUGCCUGGUUUCCAGACAUAAUGAAUGUUUCCUUCGUUAUAGUAUCUGAAAACACUCCACCUUUUUGGUUCAGAGGCUAAGGCCGAAAGCCUACGAUGACAAAUUUUUCACAUGUUCGGCUGUCAAAUACAGGUUGAUCAUAAAGUACAUUAAUACAUCGAAUCAAAUGCCUAUUCCUUAUCUAUUCCAUCUAUCAGACUGUCUAACCUACAGUCUUCCUACGAAUAUUUCGCAGCUACCAUUACUUGGUCGUACACCAAGUUCAAAGGAAUUUAUUUCCCAUCCGGUCCCUGCGGUCCCACUCGGGCCAUAUGAUUCGGAUCUAGCUUGGCAAAGCGUGUUUUCACCAUCGCCCAGGCUUCUCGUGCGCCUUCAUGGCAAGCGAAUGUCUUCCAUAGCUCAAAUCGGUGUCGAGCACCUUUGAACAGGCUUGCCAAACCCUCCAUACUUUCUGGAGGGGUCUCAGAUGGCCAUAAAGACUUGACCAUACUCCUCAUGGCCUUCCGGGCCCGCGCAUGUACCACAGACAGCUCCUUUAGCAUGUCGCCUUGGAAUCUGGAUACUUCCUCUUCGGAUCGACCAGUUAAUAGACCUGCAGCCACAGAUUUAUGACAUUCUGAAUUGUGGACUAAACACGAGUUUAUAUGGUGGUUUUAAAAGACAUACUGAACAUGCCGCCUUUCAGCUUCUCAUUUUGUUUUUUAGCGGCCGAUAACCGAGCUUUUAAGCUCUCUAUCUCUUCAGCUUGUUUAUCUUUUUCCUCCUCGUGCCUUUUCCCCUUGGAUGUGUUCAUUGCGGCCUUUUCCAUUUCCGCCAGUUCGGCGGCGACGGCAUUCAGCUGCGUUCGGUUUGUUUUCAGCUCCUGGGCUAGUGCAGUGUUCUUCUCUUUGAGAACCUGCAGGUAAUAUCAAUCCUUAAAUCGGUUGGCUUCACCGCUUUAAGUCUUGGGGGCUACUGGUCUAUGUCUAUCAAAAUUGCAUAAACUUUUACCUGUAUAUCCUUUGAAAAUAGCUGAGUGACUCCGGCAAGUCCGUAUCUCUCGGAUAUAUGCAUCCACCGAACUGAGUGCAGUAAAUUCUUGUUCGGAAAAGGCUGGAGCGCGCAUGGCUUCUUUCAGUCGACAGUGAUUCAUUACACUCUCCACCUUGUAGUUCAUGAUAGAUACGUCCUCUGAAUCCUCAUGAGACGAUGGAAUCGGCACUGCAUCAGCCCUCGUCCUAGCUGACGAGUCCGGUGCCGGAUUAGCUGACAUUCGGCUUGCAGGGUGUUUUCAUACUGUUUGCCGUGUGCUCCUCCUGAAUCGAAGAUAGAAGGGAGGUUUAAUAAUCCCAACUCGUGCCUAGGCACGUAUUAAAUGAACAUACCUUUUUGAAGAUGGUGAAGGUUCUACGGUGCCCCCAGCCUCCUUUCAUUUUGAACGACUACCCUGCGAAGGGGCCACCCUUGAGGAGGUGCGGUCUGCCGAGCGUCGAUCCUGUUGAGUACGGAUUAGUACAAUGGACAAAGGUGCAAGUAGGGACUUCCUUUUUGAAAGCUCUUUGAAUACUUAUGAUGAGAAGGGAUAGGGGCGGGGGUAGUCGGCUGUAAUGGACACUUCCGAGCCGUCAUGGCUCGCCUGAUAAAACACCCCAUCACCGAACUGUAUGUAUAUAAAUGGAUCCUCACAGAAGCCGGGGUCCUCACGGCAGUUGUGAUCCUCUGGCUGUGGGGCAGGACAGUGAACGUCCUCGGUCAUCUUCCUCCAUGACUGUUUUAUGGCAACACAGAACAAAUUUGAUUAGUAUACUGUGACAGCAAUAAAGCAACACAGGUAAUCGAAGUCUUACCCAUUCAAUGGGGUUGUACAUGGAAUAGCCUUCCCAGCAGUUUAAGCGCAGGAAGUCUUCUUUUUCACCCUUAUACAGAUCGGCCAAGAUUCUGGCCAGUUCGGCAGGGGUAUCCGGACCCUUGCGUCUGUAACUAGACGCGUCAUCUUCUCCGUUGUAGCACCAUAAGGGAGUUACCCUGGACUGGAGAGGCUGGACACACCUCUUUAUUGCAAUGGCCAUAACCUCGACUAUCGAGAGCUUGGUAUGGGCUACUAAUCUGACCUUGCUGACCAACCUUUUUAUUUCCGCACUGUCCUCCUCCUUGGAACUCCGGGGACGCCAGUUGAGGCGCUUCUUUAAAGGAGUGCUGGAAAACUCAGGGAGGCCGCACCGAACUAGAUCCGGCAGUGGAACAUCGUCCAUAUAAAACCACUCCGAGGACCAUUGUGGAUAUAUCUCUUUGGUAGUUCCAACGGGGUAUCCAGAUCCGGCUAUGCGCCAUACUUCGGCACCGCCCACUUCAAAUAUAGAGCCUCCUCAAUGGCGGGGAACAAGGCAAAAGAACUUCCUCCAUAGUUUGAAAUGGGCCUCGAUGCCUAAGAACAGUUCGCAAAGCGCAACGAAACCUGAGAUGUGCAGAAUCGAACCUGGGGUAAGGUUGUGCAGCUGGAUGCCGUAAAAAUCCAAUAAACCUCUGAGGAAGGGAUGGAUCAGAAAUCCUAAGCCCCGUAGAAGGAAUGGAACAAAGCACACCCUCUCCUCCUUAUUAGGAUUGGGGAAAUUUUCAGCCAUCACAUCGUUGCCGAUGGACGCCAAUCCCGCUCGAACGGAGACUAGAUCUGCGAGGGGAAGAUAUCCCUGUGUCUGGAGUCGACUCAGCUGGAGAUGAGGCACUGAACAGCUUUGCCAAUCACCCUCUUGAGGGCCAUGGGGGCGCGAAGAGGAACCCAGGGCGCUGGCCAUGUUUGGAAGUUUUUUCGUGGUUAAACUUGGCAUUUUUCUGCGCGAUGUGGAUGGCACUUGGAGGAUUUGACCUCUUUAUAUAGCGAUGUCCCCAUGGGGCAGAAUGUUUUCCUUCUUAAAUAAAAAAUUGUGGACCAUUCACAUUCGCCCAAGCGCGUGGAAAUCGAGGCGAUAAGGAAUGAAACAUUAAUGCGGAACAAGGAAGCUAGGGCCGAACUAUUAUCUGUCCAGCGUACGUUGAAGAACCAACCUUGCAAAAGCCAAAGACGUAAGCUGGAUACUGCAUCGUCAUUUGAAGGCCAGUUCGGGGGCUACUGAGGAAGUCCUGGACUAGGGGGUCCUCGGGUGUCCGGGCUAUUUGAUAUGGGCCGGACUGAUGGGUCGUAAAGAUUCAAAGGCGGAAGGCCUUCCCCCGUGUCCGGGUAGGACUCUCCUAUGCGUGGAUUGCAAGAUUAAUGUCCGGAUAUGUAAUUCCCUUCCUUCACGAGCCAACUUUGUGUAACCCUAGACCCCUCCGGUGUACAUAUAAACCGGAGGGUUUAGUUCAUAGGGACCAUCAGAAUUUACAUAAGCUAGAUAGCUAGGGUUUAGCCAUUGCGAUUUCGAGGUAGAUCAACUCUUGUAACCCUUAUACUCAUCAAAGACAAUCAAGAAGGAAGUAGGGUUUUACCUCCGUUAAGAGGUCCCAAACCUGGAUAAACAUCGUGUCCCCCUUGUCUCUUGUUACCUUCGAUCCUCAGACACACAGUUCGGUACCCCCUACCCAAGAUCGGCCGAUUUUGACACCGACACUCGUCGAAGGAAAAAACUCGAUGCGGGUGGGGCCGGGGUGGGGGUGGGGGUGGCGGAGGAACACAAUGGUGGGGGCGGUUCAGGGGAGGGCGGGUGGUUAAGGGCCGGUGGUUCGGCAGGUGGCCCGUGCGGUGUUCUAUAGGGGAAGAAUCAAAGACGAGGAAGAAGAAGGGUUAGGAGACAUAGGAUCUUCAUCCAACCGCCUGAAAUGGUCGAGUGACCCAAAUGACAAAAGUCACGUGACUUGCAUGCAGACAUUCCUUUAUAUUCAGUACCAUCAUCGUAGCUGCUUAGCACUGCUCCUCAAUCCAUCAAGCUAAACAACGUGCCACUCAUAAUUCCAAACUUGUUGCUCAAAUACGAAUCUGAUAUGAUGUUGAUAUUACUAAAACAGAUAACAUUUAAUUGGUCAGCUAAUGUUCCUACUUUACUUUUGAAAAGCACAUGGGCCACAUAUCGAGGGACGGGAGGGAGUUGCGUUCUUUAUGCGCUCUGGUUCAUCAUGUGUGGCCAACCAACAUUUUAUUAUCCAAAAUCUUCUUGCUCUUCUUUAGCAUGCUCCUCUUCUGUUUUUCUUUUGUAAGUACUAUCUCCGUACCUAAAUAUAAUUCUUUGUAGAGAUUCCUCCAUGGACUACAUACGGAGCAAAAUGAGUGAAUCUACGCUCUAAAAUGUAUCUAUAUACAUCCGUAUGUGAUCCAUAGUGGCAUCUCUACAAAUACUUGUAUUUAGGAACAGAGGGAGUAUAUAGUUGUACAGUAUGUUCUUUGUAGUGAAGAGGAGCAAGGAUAUUUGCAGUGUACGGGUCUAUUCGGUCGCUUCUCAUGGACGCUUUCAACUAUUCGUGUUGGUCUUCAUGUCGAUUGUCAUGGACGCUUUCAACUCUUCGUAUUCGGUCGUAUGUGUCGCCCUUGAGAGUUAGAUUGAUAGUAACAAUAUUGUGCCUUCAGUUGUAGAGAGCUGGUAUCCGAAGCCUUUCUAGCCGUACCGGCAAUACUAGCACAUAUAUUCCAGCAAGUUCCACUUUCCUGAUUUUACUCCUGUUGCUUAGGGUUUUCCCAUUAUAUCUACACUAUGAUAUGCGUAGGUGCUUUGUGUCCUACUAGCAGUUUUCCACCCUUUAAAGCUAAAUAACACACCAAUCAUACGUCCUAAGGUUCUUCAAAUAUGAAUGUGAUAUGAUACUGACAUUAGCUAACAGACACACAUUUAAUUGGUUAGCUAAUGCUCCCACUUGAGUUUCCAAAUGCAUGUGGUCACAUAUAGAGAGACAUCAUGGAAUGGCAUUUCUUUGGGUGCUUCUGUUCUUCUUUAAGUACAGUAUGUUCCUUGUCAGGAAGGGGAGUAGGGACAUCUGCAGUUGACAGCUCUAUUGGGCCGGUUCUGCUACAUGAUUUUGCACUUCGAGUUGGUCUGCCAUAAUAUCCCGGAAAUGGUGGGAGCCGCGCGGCCUUUGAUAGACUAGACUGAUAGUGACAGUUGUGCGCCUUCAGAUGAAUAGAGCUGGCCUGUAGGUGAUCGAUAGGCUGCAUAUUAGUAGCGGCAAAACCCUGUAUUCUCUAGCCAGUUCCGCAUUCCCGAUUUAUUUGUGGUGGUUAUGGUGUACCCCUAUUAUCUGCACUAUGAUCAUCCUAGUGGUUGUGUGCUCUCGUUAUCAUGGUUUGGCAAUAAACUUUCUAUACGGUAUAUUAUGAACCUAUCAUCUGCCAACUAUCCUUACAUCUGGAGCUCCCAACAGGGAGCCUAUUUUUUGUGUAGUUGUGCCAGAUUAUAUUAAUCUACUCACCACAUUACAGCACACAUGGGCUCUCUCAUCAGAAUUCAGUGAUAGCACACAAGGGUUUACAGGGAGCCCCUAUUAUAUUACAAUAUCCUCUGCAUUACAAAAAUAAUCUCACUACUAUUUAUGUUUUCAUGCUUUUCAGAUAUUGUACAUAAUCACAAUGAAUAUAAGAAUGCGCACAUCAGAAGAAUACUGCAGAACGGUUCAAUGGGUAACAAACUUGGCAUCAAGGGAUUGAGGUCCAUUGUGGAUGCAAUCAAACCCACAUGCUCCCGACCUAUAGAUUCGUAUUCAGAAUAUGAUCCUAAUGACUAUUCUGAGCUCAAGGAGCCAAAGGCAGAUGGCCUAUCCUAUUCACCCAAUAAGGUGCCUGUUCUAAUUUGUCAAGGUUUUAUUGGUUGCACAUAUGUUACAUAAGGUGUCUUGCAUUUCUUUUGCUUCAUUGCACCGCCAUCUGCUUAAUUUACUCAUGAUAUAUGUGAAGAUGCCAUGCCCAUCCAUUGUCAAUACCUAUUCCAUUUGCCGUCAUACCAUGUUUUUCCAUUCAAAUGUUGUUCUUGUGUUUCAGACAUCCAAAAGGAAGAGGGUGAUUGUAGAACCUGAAGGAGUGCAAGCAAAGUCCUUGAAAAAGGUGGUGCUACCGGAGAAAUCAGAUAGCACCCCACGUAUAUUGGCGAUAGAACCAGCGCCGCAAAACCUAGGCUAUCGGAACUAUGCUGGUCGCUGCUUUGCUCUUGUGAGUACUUACAUUCAUACCUGGUGGAUUAUGUGACAUCAUUGUGCAUUAUAGCUUGCUUAUCCAAUGUUUGCUUCAAAUUAUCAUAUCUAUAUUAAUGCUUACAUUAAUGUAGAAUAAACCCAAUGCUUAUGAAGAAAUUUAGUUCUACAUUGUUCUUGUAAGCAUCUGUUGUUCUUCGUCACCGUACUUAUAUUGUCAGCUAGUUCUUCAUGUACACUUCGCAACUUAUUUUCCCUUUCCCUCCAAUUUCUAAACAUCAAAUCUACAUUUACUCUUGCCAAAAUAUUGAAUAAAACCAAUGUUACUGAAGAAGUUUAGCUCUGCAUUGCUCUUGUCAGUGCCGUUUGCCUGUAUGUUGUAUUUACAUUUGUACUCUGCAUCUUAGGUUAAAUAAUCGCCAUUUUUCCUAUAUUUUCACAUCUAUAUUUACUCUUAACAAAAUGUAGAAUAAAGGCAAUGCUCUUGAAGAAGAGUGUCAGUAAACUUCUUGAAUUGCCCCCCCCCAUCAAUAUGGACAAGGGCUUUAUAGAGCUGGUCUUCACUCCUAAUGUAAGUUUGUCCUCCUCGAGCCUUCAAACUUUCUUGUCUAUAUUUGGAUAGCUAUGAGUGCAAAUGAUGUUUAUUUUUGUCGUCUGCAUUAGAUUGCUUGUUCAAAGUUUAUAACGAAGAAGUACAUAAACAUAGGUUUGUCCUUCUCAAUUUUAGUCUUUAGUUGUACAACCUAGUUCCUUAUUCAUACCAUGUAAAUUAAACUAAACAUAGCAAGUUAUCUUGUUUAGCACUGUGUGUAUGCUUGUGUUCUUGAUCUGUAAUCCAGUGGUGUGGUGAAACUACCAACUCCAGCACAAUGUCAUAUCCUGCUAUGUCUCAACUAUGAACAAUGCCAUAUUAUAUUAAUAUUAUUUAAAUCAUGUCUCUUUAUUUACCAAUCUGAAAUGGUGUAAAUUGACAGUACACAAACCAUUCAUGCUUAUACGUUGUUUAGCACUACAUGUAUGCUUGUGUUCUUGAUAUGUAAUCCAGUGGUGUGAUGAAGCUGGCCGCUCCUGCACAAUGCCAUUUCCUGUCGUCUUAACUAUGGACAAUGCAUAUUAUGUUAAUGCUAUUUUAAACCGUGUCUUUUUAUUUCUGACAACGAAAUGAGAUGAAUUGAUAGCGUUGAUGCUUAUACGUGCAAAACCUGUUAUCUACCUACUUGUUUCUCUUUCAGGGUGAUAGCACUGAUGCUAGGAAGAACUUCCACAAUGAUAGUGAGACGAACCCAUUGUUUGUCCCUCUAACAUAUAUUCCAGAGAAGAAGGCAACACAUCUUGAGGGUGGGCAUACAACCACAAAGUCAUGUCUUGAUGUAGUGUCGAACUUACUCAGUGACACAAGCUCGAUGAAGUCGCCGCCUGAAUCUGUUCGACUUCUUCAGUCUGAAAUUCAAGCAGAAAGACAUGCUUCCGCUCAAAUCCGACUGGAACUCCAAUCUCUAUGCAAGAUUAACCAUAAGUACACGACAUCUAUUGAUGCUAUGCAGCUUAAGUUGGUGGAUAUAAGUGUCAACAAGUGCAGUCUCAUCAGGUUGCUAAGCUGUUUGCGCUGCAGCUCCUGGGUCGGGCUAACCUUUCUUGAACUGUGUUGAAGUGUUGUCGGUUCUGUCUAUUAUUUUGUCGGCCUGUUUACUUUCACUGGUGGCGACCUGCCCAGUUUAUGGAAUCUGCUGUCCGGUUGCCCUUUAUUAUCACUGGCGGCGAACUUUGAUGCCCAAGCGAUGUAAUAUGUUGUAAUUUCUUUGUUGUAUAGUCUAGGUUUAUUCUUCGUCAUGAUGCUUUAAUUUAUUUGUUGUUUAUGCUGUCAUUGCUCUAAGAAAAGGUCGUAGUCUUCGAUCGGAGCACAAUGAGCUAAUAGGUUAGGUUUAUAAAAAAAAAAAUUCGGUACUAAAACUGGCCGGUCGCCAAUCGCUAGUACGGGCCGAACCGUGGGCCUACAAUAAUCUUGGGCCAUUAGUUAGGUCUAGUCUUAAUCUGGCCCACUAUUAGUUUCGGGCCUUUAAAAGGUCGAGUAAACUGCUUGCCUUAAUUGGGCCAGAAAAUUAAAUAGGCUUUUAACAGGUUCAAAACUAGAUUGAGCCUUAAUUGUGGUGAAGAAAUCACGGGCCGACAACAUGUUGUAAUAUACAUCGGCCCAUUAUUGGCCCAUUUGUGUGACGGGCCAUUAACAGGCUAAAAUGUUUUUGGGCCUUGGCUAACCCAAUUACAUGACGGGCAGGAAGCCGGCCGGAUGUAUAACGGGCCAAAAUUAGGCCAAACACUCUCAAGGGCCUUUAACGGGCCGAUAGGCAGUUUGGGCUAGAAUGUAUCCAUGAAGACUACGGGUCGUUAAGAGGCCGAAAGUAACUACGGAGCAAAAUUAGGUCCAGCUGCAACUCAGGCCUUUAAAUGGCCAAAAGUGAAACGGGGCCGAAAGAGGCACAUAUGUAGAUAGGGCCGCUGACAGGUCGAAACUAAUAUCGGGCCGAACUGUUAAACGGGCCAUUAAGAGGUCAAAGUGCAAAUCAGGCCCCCAUUGGGCGCGAUGGCACAGUAGUUGUUAAAGGGUUGUAUAUGUUAUGGGUUGUAAUUUGGCCCAAGAAAUGAAUGUUAGUUAACGGGCUGGAUCAGGUAUGGACCGUAAUUUGGCCCAAACUAUUGCAGGCUAUUAAUGGGCCGGAUCUGAUAUGGGCUGUAAACUGGCCCAAAAUAUUGCAGCCCUUUAACGGACCGUAUCUGAUGUGGGCCAUAAUUUGGUCCAGAAAAUGUUAGGCUGUUAAUGGGCCGGCCCAUUAGAUCUGACGAAAUCUUGUGGGCCUGUUCCUGGGCCGUCUUUUAAACCAAUAUGGGCCUCUAAUGGGCCGAUCCCACAUGUCAACGUUUCAUUGGUGAUUCUUGUCCAAUGGACGGUUGACAUCUGUCCCAACGCUGAGCUGACACGUGGAUCAUCGGCGAAUGAGAAUUUUACACGUGGAAAAUCGCCAUUGGUCCUGGCUGUUAAUGGGUUAUCGUAUCCAAACCGGAACCCGAUAGCUGAACGGUGACCCGUUACAAUGGAUUUCACGUGUCAGUUACCCUUGACGAAAGCACUUCCAUGACGCGCCAUUUAUCGUCAUGGAAGUGGAAACUUCCGUGAUGAUAAUUUUGGUAAUGUCAUGGAACACUUCUACGACAGCACAGGUAUGACUAUCUUUAUUCUAUCAUAAAAUCAUCAUGGAUGUACAUGCAUGACAGAAAACGUGACCUACUAUGACAAACACGUAUCAUCACGGAAGUGUAUUUUUUUGUAGUGCAAGGGGUUGUCAAUCCCUUGGCGGUUAAUUGCAAGGAUUAAAUCUCAUUGUGAUAUAUAGAUAAACAAAAACAUAAAAUAAAAGUAAAUAAAUUGAUGCAAGGUAUUUUUGGAUUUUAAUCUAUGAUUAAAAUAGACCCGGGGGCUAUAGUAUUCACUUGAGGCUUCUCUCUAGAACAUAGCAUAUGGUGGGUAAACAAAUUACUGUUGGGCAAUUGAUAGAAAAGCGCAUUGUUAUGAUGAUAUCCAAGGCAAUGAUCAUGUAUAUAGGCAUCAUGUCCGAGACAAGUAGACCAACUCUUGCCUGCAUCUACUACUAUUAUGCCACACAUCAACCGCUAUCCAGCAUGCAUCUAGAGUAUUAAGUUCAUAAAGAACGGAGUAACGCCUUAAGCAAGAUGACAUGAUAUAGACAAAGUAAACCCAACUAAUAUGAAGAAACCCCUCUUUUUAUCCAUAAUGGCAACGAUACAAGUACAUAUCAUGUUCCUUUCUGUCACUGGGAUUGAGCAACGCAAGAUCGAACCCAUCACAAAGCACCUCUCCCAUUGCAAGAUAAAUCAAUCUAGUUGGCCAAAUCAAACGGAUAGAUCGGAGAGAAAUACAAAGCUAUAAUAAUCACGCAUAAAAGAGUUCAGAGAAGACUCAAAUAAUAUUCAUGGAUAAUCUGAUCAUAAACCCACAAUUCAUCGGAUCCCAACAAACACACCGCAAAAAAGGAUUGCAUCAAAUAGAUCUCUAGGAACAUCGAGGAGAACAAUGUAUUGAAGAUCCAAGAGAGAGAAGAAUCCAUCUAGCUACUAGCUAUGGACCCGUAGAUCUGUGGUAAACUACUCACACAUCAUCGGAGGGGCGGCAAGGUUGAUGUAGAGGCCCUCCGUGAUCGAUUCCCCCUCCAGCAGAGUACCGGAAAAGGUCUCCAGUUGGGAUCUCUGAAGAAUAGAAACUAGCGGCUGCGAAGAAAGUAUUUGGGGUGGCUCUCUGAUGUACGGGUAAUAUUUGGAAUUUAUAGAGCGGGAAUUGGGUCGGGAGGUGCCACAAGGGGCCACAAGCCUGGGGGACGCGCCUGGUAGGCUUGUCGGCACUUUAGGUCUUCUCUCGAAGCUUCUAGGGUCCCUUUUGGUCCUGAAAAAAUAUCAAAAAGUUGGUAGUGUUUGGACUCCAUUUGGUACUGAUUUUCUGAAAAGCCUAAAACAAACAAAAAAUAGCAACUGGCACUGGGCACUAGGUUAAUAGGUUAGUUCCAAAACAUGAUAUAAAACUGCAUAUAAUUGCAUAAUAAACAUCCAAGAUUGAAACAAUAAUAGCAUGGAACAAUCAAAAAUUAUAGAUACAUUGGAGACGUAUCAGGGGUCAUUUGUGGGACGUUUCGUGGGAAUUUAAGAACGAUCUACACCAACUCUUCUUUCGCUGCAACUUAAAAUUGGUAACAAUUUGAUCUAAGAGCAUCUCCAGCCGCGCCCCCAAAAGGCCCCCCCCCAGGCGAAUUUUUAGCGCCGGCGGGCGAAAAUCUGCCCAGUCGCGCCCCCAGGAGACCGUUUUUCGCCGGGUUGGGCCGAAAUAACAGUCGGCGCACCCGAGCCGAACCCGGCGCGCUAGGGGGCACCGGCACAAGUGAAAAGGGGUGUGGGGCCGCUCCAUCAGCGAGAGGAGAGCCUUUUCCCGCCAUUUCUUCCUGCUUCCCCCCCCCCCUCGGCUUCCCUCUCAUUCUCUCCAUUCCUCCCGCCAAUCUCGUCCUCCUCCCCUCCCCGCCGGCCGCCAUGCCGCCGAAGAAGAACGUGGUCCCCCACGUCGCGACGGGUGCGACCGCCGCCGUCGCCCAGCCGAAGCAGAGGAAGCCGAGGGCGCCGCUGUCCAAGCCCCCGGGCAUGUCCAACGCCGACUGGAGGGCUGAAGUUCAGCGCCGGGAGGCUGUCACCAUCGACCGGCGGAACAGGGCCAACACCAAGAAGGCCAGGGACAGCGCGGCGGCGGCGGAUCAGGCGGAGCGCUCGGCCUAACAAGCCGAGGCGGCUCGCGUGGGGAUGAUGAAUCCACCCGGCGUCCACGGCCAGUACACGCCCUGGAGCCAGCAAAGCGUCGACUCUCCGGUCGGCUUCUCGUCGUCGCCGCAACCCUGGGGCUGCAUGCCGUCGCCGGGCUACGCCGAAGGGGACGCGCAUGGUGGGCUCAACCCCAACAUCACCUUCCCCCAUGGUCACCCAGCCCAGCGGACACCCUCGCCCGCCUUCGCCGGCGUGCAGUACCCCCCGUACAACUACUUGCCGCCGGCCUACGCAUCCUCCCCGACGCCCCCUCUCUGUUGUGGCGUGCUACCGUUCUCCCAAGCCUCCACGUUGCACCUCGGUGACACCGACGCGACCGAAGCAGACAUGGACGACAUCAUCACGGCAGGCUCGGCCGCCGCCGCCGCGUCCCCAGGGUUCACCGCGCAGGACGACACGGUAGACCUCAACGGCGACAUGGACGGCGAGCUCGACUACAGCGAGGAGGAGCCGGCUGAGGAGGAGGAGGAAGAGGAUGAGGAGGAGGAUCCGGCGCCGGCGAGGAAACGGAAGAAGAAGAAGGGGGCGGCCAGGACCGGCGAGUUGCGCAUCAAGUGGGCGUCCAAGGAGCAGGAGUGUCUCGUCGAAGCGUGGAAAGUUGUCUGCCUCGACCCGAUCACCGGCACGAACCAGAGCAUCAAGACAUAUUGGGAGCGCAUCAAGGCCGAGUUCGACGAGCGCAAGCUCGUCGACCCCUACUUCAAAGGCGUCUACAUGCAGCGCUGGUCGAAGGCAAUGGCGGGGGCUCAUCCAGGGAGCGUGCAACAAAUGGCAUGGGAUCGUCGAGGAGAUCGUGGCUCGCCCGGAGAGCGGCGCCAGUGUUGAGGAUCAGGUAUGGCAUGCUGGUUUCCCACUUCUUUUCGCCGUGCGCGUCGGCCAACUGUUUGUUCCUCGGCGCAGAUGCUGCGGAUGUUCGCGAUGUAUCGCCAGGACAGCAUCGACCAAGACUUCAAGUACCUCCACGUCUUCAAGCGGAUCGAGAAGUGCGAGAAGUGGGCAGAUGUCCUGCGCACCCUCGCCAAGGCCAAGGAGACCUACAAGCCGGACGCACCAAUGCCCGGCGCGGGCGACAGGCGCCCUGAAGGCAACAAAGGGGCCAAGAAGGGGAAGAACGCCGACUCGGCCACCGCGCGAGUGCAAGAGUCCAUCGAGCAUUGCCUCGCCGACGCACAGGCCCGGGCCGCCCUGCGUGAAGAGAAGACCGAGGUGCGCUGGUCGGCGUUGAAGACGAACAGCGCCGUCAAGCUCGACCUACUCCGGACCAACGUCGCCGCGAAGAAGAGGAACACCGACCUGAAAUUUAUGAUGGGCGGGGCGGACAUGCUCCAGAGAAACGACGAGCAGCUCAAGGCGUGGUACCUAGCGGAGUGCGGCCUCAUCCUGAACCAGCUGCCGUUGACAGCGCCGCCAAGCCCGAGCGAGGAUACCUCCAUGACGCCCAGCAGCACAGAAGCCGCGCUGAUGCCAGCCAGCACAGAAGCAGCUCUGACACCGCCAAGCCCGUGCACGCCGACUCCGCCGACGCCAGAGGCCGACCCCACCGUUUGAUGUGUUUCCCACGCGUCCUUUCGUUCUUUUUGUAAGCUGAACUUUUCAUCCGAUCGCCGAACUUGGCCGCUGAUCGCUGGACUGGGCCUUUUUUUGUGAGCGAGAACGACGAAGUUUGAAUUUUUCGCGACUUGGGGGCGCCUAGGGGCGUGGCUGGGAGCUAGAUCACCCCCAGGGGCCAAUCUAGCGAUGGUUCACCCCCAGGCGGCUCUUUUUCGGCGCCCUGGGGGGCCGAACGGCUGGAGAUGCUCUAACCUUGUACGGCUCUUCAUAGUGAUCCUGGUUCUUGAUUCGUAGGGCGGAAGGAAAAAUUCUACUGCGAUUCCCAACCAUCCGGGCUCAGGCACCUCCCCAUGGCAGAUCUUGGUUCGACGACUCAACCACGCUACUACUUGGGCUCAUGGACAACAGCAAAAACUUGGCAUGUGUGUAGGUGAAAGCAAAGUGUAGUGUGCUGGCAGGUGGGGAGGCGGUGAAAGGAGGCCCGAGCAGAUGCGGCCACAAGAGGAGUGGCUAGCUUGGAUCCAUGGCAUUGGCAAGGAGCAGUGGAACAAGCAAGGAGCAACGGGAUGGGGGUGGGGGUAGAAACCCUAGUGGCACAGACGAAACCUCUUUAUUUUAUCAUCGCGGGGGACAAGUCACUUUUUCUCAGAGUGGAAGGCUGGCUGGACGUGAUGGCAUUUUCCCAAUAAUAUGAGCGAACUUCAGUGACUAUUGGAUAUGAACUUUUGUUAUUAAGUGGGCUGUUGUGUGAAGCCUUGCUACCCCCAGCUUAGGGCCACUUCUUUCUCCACCGUACUCGUUGUGAAGGAGGUGCAUCCGAAAAUUGUUGGGAAACAUAGUAGAAAACCAAAAAAAUCGCCCUACGAUCAACCAGAAACACUAUGAAGAUGUGGUUUUGAUUGUAUCAUUACAAACUCUGAGUUGCAGCGGAAGAAGAUUCAGUGUAGAUUAUACUUGAAGUCCCAUGAAUCGUAGAUGGACGAUCGCUCAAACCGUCCGCGAACAGUCCCUCGAAUUGAAGACCGAAAGCACGGCCUCUUCCGGUACGGCUUCACUAUCCAUAGCUAAUCAUCGCCAGAGCAUUAUAGGAAAGAGAUUAGAACCACAUUGGGCUUCUAAUUAUGAGGAUUAGAGAGGAUCUAUAUCUAGCUCUAAUGGGAUCAACUAGAACUAGAACUAGAGGAGGCUCCAACAACUUGUGUGUCUAAAAGUUCCAAAACAUCAAGUAUAUAUAGGUUGGAGGGAGGGAUAGAGGUGCCCCACAAGGAGGAAGGUUUCCCACAUUGGCCAUCCAAGAGGAGGGGGAUUCCCCCUCCCAUUUGCCCCCCCCCCUUCCUUCCAGAAGAUGGAAGGGGGCACCACCUCCUAUUCGGCCCAAGUGGCCCAAUAUGCUUUGCACCACUUGGCAUUUUAAGGCCCAUUGAGAUUUAAAUAAGUAUAAAAGCAUGCUAAUCAUAUUUAGAGCCUUUUAAUAUUAAUUUAACAUCACCGGUAACUAUGUCCACCUAUAUAUAAUUAUCGGUAUUACCCGGUAAACCCCGAAAACCUUCCGGCGACCCCGAAACGCUUUUGGUUCCUCACGAUACUAUUUUGAAUAUUAAUGAAACUAUUUCAUAAUUAUUUCCUCUUUACUCCUGUCGUACUAACACUCAGAAGAUCAUGAUUACUUAAGCUUAUGACCUUGUAGGUUUGGUAAAACAUAGACAAGAACAAUACCCCUUUCGUUCAAUGGUCGAUAGCGGAACUGUGGACAUCCAUAUCAAUCCCUAUGAGUACACGCAUGACAUUCGAUUGAACAUUUGAUUAACAUGUGAUAUUCCCUUUGCUUUGUGAUACUUUUCAAAACCCAAGGUGAGAUAUAUCAGUAUCCUCUGGAGUCAUUCCCAUGCUCACUAGUGUCGAUCUCCUCAUUACCGGUUUUGUUCUUCUUUCUCAUUGACAUGUUCCGACAUCCCUGUGACCUAGUCACAUGUGUCUGGCCAAACGAUGAUGGAUGCCAUCACAUUGGAAGGGCCCUAAGAAUAUCUCCCCAUCAUCGGAGGAGCAAAUGCCACUCUUGAUCUAUCUAGCCUCUUGUCAAACUUUAUGAUGAACCUGUAAGUUGUCGUUAUGAUCACCGUGUUACAGAUGACAUUUGAGCAACCCCAAAGUCCAUCAUCGGUAAGAAGUGACUACAAUAGUCUCAUGGUCAAAGGAACUAAAUCACAUGUUAACUCUGUGUGUUAUAACAUGUGACUUGUGACGAUUGUAUCUCAAAGUAUAACAAACAAGUUUGGGUCGAUUCAGUAUGAUCAUUCUUCCAAUGUCAUAUGUUUUAGGACUAUUGUUACACUUAACGGUAUCCUAAGAUCCAGAAAACAUGAUCACCAAAAACACUUGAGUUAGUUUAGAGGCGAGACUAGGAACAAUACUUUACUAUUUAUCAUUCUACACAUGCAUAUGAUUUUUUCCACUGAAUCGAGUAUUCCAGGAUCAUAGCAGUUAUAACAUAGAAUAUAAACUCUUAAUUAAAACAGGGAAAUAUAAUAAUAUAAUAUUAUUGUGUCUAGGGCAUAUUUCCAACAGACUCCCACUUGCACUAGAGUCAAUAAUCUAGUUAAACAUUUUCUUUUACACCAAUGGCAAUCCGGUGUUUGUCCAUGUUUUGCUUGUGGUAUAGCCUUCAUCCUAUCAAAUCUUGACAACUUCGGAUCCACGUGUAUCAUUUUCCUUUUCUAUGCAUCUAUGCUUUCACAAGAAUUCAUAAUUUGUGUGAAACUGACUUUGUAUGUAUUGAAUCACUGGUCAGACCUUUGAUUCCUUAGUCUGGGCUAUCGAACCACUAUUAAGAAUAGUGUUCCAUUGGCACAAUCAUCUAGAAACCAUACCAACCUCAUAAAUGAACUUUUGACCCUCCAUUGUUGCUUCCAAAGUGACAAUAUACUCAGCCUUCUAUUAUAAAAUUCACCAAAGUAACUUUCUUGGACCAAUUCCAGCUUACUGUGCCACCAUAAAUUAUUUAUUUGAAAUUGAAAAUCGCUUGGAGCACUUAUGAAGAUUCUGUCUGUACUACUUACAACGAACAUGUAUCGAUGUAACUCUUUCCAACAAUCUCUUCAUUUUCUCCGUAUGCGAGAAACAUGUCGUUUAGUGCUUAACGACAUUUCCAUUGUUGUCAUGUGAUCAAUAAUUUGACCAUUUCGGUAAUUUUACUCACAACUUACUUGGAGUACUGGACAUAUCUGGUUGUUUAUAUACCAUGGAAUAUAAUUAACACAAGUGUGAUUGAAAUCAUGUAUCUCUCAUCAUUAUUUCAGGAUACUAAUUGUUCCUUAAAACUCCUUCCAUGUGACUUUGACAAGAAACACUUCUUGUCGUUUUUCAUACUAAACUUCUUUAGUAUCUUGUAAAUAUGUAUUUUGGCUAAUCACGAUUAGACACCACUGUCUCCAUAGAUUAUUAUACCUAAUUCAAAUACUAUAUUGCCUAAGUACUUCACUAAAAAGCUAGUUUCAAUAAAGUCUUAAUUUGUGUCAAGAAAUUUAUAUAAUUUCCAAUCAACAAUAUGGCAUGCACACACAUUGUUUAGAAAUAUUAUCAUGAUCCUACUUACUUUCUUGUAAAUACAAGCAUCUUUGCUUUCCACAAUGAAAUCAAAUUAUUUGACCAUAUCAUCAGAACAAAGAUUCCAACUCCAUUAUGCAUGCUUUAGUCCAUUAUAGGAUCUCUUGUAGUUUGCACACUUACUAGCAUCCUCUGGAUUGACAAAAUUACCUUGGACCGUAUAACAGAUACAACCUUGUUUUUAUUUCCAUCUCAUGGAAAUCAUUUUGAAUUACAUCUAUUAUAUCUCAUAAUUGAAAUAUUUAUUAAUUGCUACUUUAACCCGAAUUGGCUUUAAGUAUUGCUAUUACGAGACAAUCUCAUCAUAGUCAAUUCCUUGAUCUUGUCAUAAACUAUUUGUAACAAGUCAAACAUUAUAAACAUUUUACCUUCGUCAUUUUAUAGAUCCAUUACUAUACUUUAGACUUUAAGUCUUCCGGAGGGUCCAUCAAGUUCUAAACUUGAAUUAUGUAUAUGAAUACUAUCUCGAAUUAUUUUGGCAUAUAGCCAAUUCCGGAGUUAGGGCCCAUCAAUGCUUCUCUGUGUAUUAUAGGUCCGUUGUUUGUCCAACAAUAUCUCGUCUGCACACCAUGAGGUUUCACGAGUUUGCCCAACAUAUAUAAUUCAGCUGCAAGUUCGACCGAUGUCUCUACAUCUUAUGUAGAAGCUCCCAUAUCAGUCGUUGUAGGAAAUUUUAGAACCAAUUCUAGCAUUUAUUUUCUUUGACCUAAUUACAAAGAUUUUGUAAUCUCGUCGAGUUGCACUUUCCUCCCACUCACUAUUUUGUAGAAAACAUUUUCUUCAAAAUUUACCACACAAUGUGGCAAAAUACUUUGCCACAGUGUAGUGAUAGAUUAAUACCCAACUAUUUGGGAUGACCUACAAAGUAGCACUUUAUCUGACUUGGGACAUAAACUCAUAAACACUUUUACUUAAGUGUAUUUGGGAUGACGUACAAAGUAGCACUUUAUCUGACUUGGGACAUAAACUAGUAAACACUUUUACUUAUGUCCCAUAUUCCAAUGUUAAUAAAAGACUAAAAUUGUUUGGCAUACCAUACCAUAUCUUAUAUGGCAUCAUUUCAAUAGAUUUGAUGGCAUUCUUUUCAGUGUAAAAGUCAUAGUCUCUAAAGCAUCAUAUUAAAAGUAUAAUGGAAAAUUGAUUAAUGUCAUCUUUGACCUCACCAUGUCAUACAUAGUUUGAUUGCAUCUACUCAAAACAUUCUACUCUUAGCAACGCUUUUGGGAGGUGCAAGCUAUAAAAGUUCUUUUCACAGCUCAUCAGACAUUCGCUAAAUUUGUAACUCAAAUAGUCCUUUCUGCAAUCCAAUUGCAGAAACAUAAUUUCCUUGUUACAAUAAUUUCUACUUUGUUCUGAAAUCCUUUUGAAACAUUUCAAAGGAUCCAGAUUUAUGUCUCAAAAUAAGUAAAUGUAAAUAUCUACUUGAGUCAUCCUUUAAGAUAGAUAUAUAAAUCCACUACUUGUAACAACACUUAUUGGACUACACACAUCAAUAUGCAUAUUUCCAAUUAUUAUUUUUGCUCGUUCUUUUAUGUACUCUGAACGGAAUUUUAGUUUACUUCACUAUUUGGAAGAAAUUUGCAAGUGUCAGAUGAUUCAUAAUCAAAUGACUUCACAAUCCAUCACUAUGGAAUUUCUCCAUGCGGGUUUCUCCAAUGUGACUAAAUGCAGUGUCACACAUACGUGGUAUUCCUUUAGUCUUGCGACAUUUAGCGUCAGUGUUAUGGAUGUUGUAUUUUAUUAUCAAUAUUCAUAACAUACAUCCUAUUCAUGGAGUAUGGCCUUUUGUUCAUAAUAUCGAAUAACUAUUGUUCUCUCAUGAACAACCUCCUUGGAACUUCGAUGCAAUGGGCUAGAGUGUACAAAACUCUAAAUUGGAUUAUGACAAUAAAUGGAGAGGUAAUAUGUUGAAAAAGUAUUAUAACUUUUAUAAAGUUUCUAUCCCAUAUUUUAACCUCAUUUUGUUGGUCAUUUAAGCUGUAGUAGCUCCUACAUCGAUUUUCAACAACAUGCAAUCGAGUCAGUAUCCUUGUGAUCAAUUUUUAACCACAAUGUGAUGAAUUAGUGUUUAACAAUUUAAUCACAAUUCCCAAGAAUUACAUUUACUUGACCAACUUUCUCUACAUCUUAUAACUUGUAUGACAUUCAUACCCGAGCUGGACAUUCCAGUCUUGUUUUCUUUCAACUUUUUUACUUUUUAUAGUUUUACUUCCAAUAUUUCUCCUACUCACAGAAGAAGCAUCCAACUUUAAGAGUAGCAUGAGCCCUGAACUUCCUAGGAAUGUAAGUCACAUUACAUCCUUCAAAUUUGUUCUUUCUCUUUAAGUACUCACAAUAAACACAUGAUUGGUGUUUUUCCGGAUCCUACGCAUUUUAGUUUUAAACAUAGUUGAACGCUUCACUAGAACUUGCAAGUAAACACUUCUUUAGACAUCACAUAUCUUUUAGCAUUUGUUUGUUUUUGAAAAGCAAUUUCAGCUCCCAGAAUAUCAUAUGAAUAUCCCAAACACUUUCAAGUUUGGGUCUCUAGGAAGCAAGUAGACUGUAAUAGGAUUCUAGCCUUUUGGAUCGAAGGAUGCGAGUCUCAUCAUCCACGGCAUCUACGGGAGAGUAUUGUAAGCAUGCGAUAGGACAAAAUUCUUCUUGACACUCUAGAGGACGAUCCUCUCAUUAAGUUUACCAAUCAUAAGGAUACAACCAGAUAAUAAAAACUGCUAAUCAAUUUCAAUAGAAAAGGUGGAACCGUGAGCAUAAUUCUACAACUAUAAUGCAAACUACACAUAGACAUUGUUCAUAAUUAAUUCAUAAUAGUGCUCCCACCCAAAUCAAUAUCUCUUAUAAUUGAUUUUAAGUGAUUCAAGAUCCUAAUCUUAUUCACGGCCAUUGAUGUUGGCAUCACUCAUGACAUGAACUUCAACUGGUAGGCAAACUUGUCUAUUAUAUCUCCAUAUGACUCGUGUUCAUCUUUCGAUGUUUUGUGCUCCCAGCUCUGAACGAUUGUACUAGAACUUCAAGAUAACUGAGUGUUUCUGUUGUGAGGUCCGACCUUCACCUGCCUUACACUUCACCCUUCGUCCGUACUCAUGUUGGAAUGAUGCACUCCGAAAGCUACGUGUUGUAGACGAUUGCUACAUUAGGAAGAGCACUAACUACUUGAUAUUUCCUGUGAGAGAUUGCCCUAAUAAUUGACUACUACGCAAUCAAAGGGUGCAAACAACAAAGGGACAAACAUCUCAGGCAAUUCAUAAUAGCAUGAUACGGUAUAGCCCUGGGUGUCGGAGAAGUCUUUGUGCUCCUUCAAGGUCUUCACGAAAAUUUCUGAAAAACGUUGUCGUGGCACCAAUUCGAAAACUGCUGCUAUGGUAACACUUUUGGACUACUGCAUCCGGUGAAGUUCAGGUGUCCUCUGUGCUACUUCUAUCAGAUAAAUAUUAAGGUUGACAUGCAGGUCAUCAAAAUGAAAAUCCCCUGGCUCCAGUCAUCAUGUCGUACUAUGAUGCGCAGGCCACUUAACAUCCCAACAUAUAACCAUCUCAUACAUAAACUCAUUAUCAUGACGAAGGCUAUAACACAUCACAUGCAUCCUACAAAACCAAGUUAGACGUCCUCUAAUCGAUUUGGCAAAUUUUAAUUACGUGGCUUCUAGGAUUUCUAGAUAACUCUAGCUACCUACAUUCACCAUCAAGGUGAUAGUUCUUGUUGCUAGAUUAACUUUCGGGGUGUGUGAGGGAAGAGACUUAAUUGAAAAUCUCUAUCCCCACACUAAACUUCAUCAAUACGCAUGACCCCCCAGAAGAUCGAACAUCUUCAUCGCCCUCUCUUGUUUGCGACAGUUCACUAUUCUUUACUAUGAUGAAGCCCAAAGAACUGUCAGCAUAUCGUUGACAGUCAGAGUAGAUCGGUUGUCAGAACAUUGUACAAAGCUACAUCAUGCCGUCAAUCAACUGAACCGAAGCAACACUCAAGGGAAGCAAGCAAGAACAUCAAACCCUCACAUCCACAUGUGAUCUAGAUCGAAACCUCCAUCUACUCAUAGAACCGCUCAUGCUACCAUUGUUGGGAACGUAGUAGAAAACAAAAAAAUGCCCUACGCUCAACUAAGAAGUUGUGAAGAGUCGAUGUAGAUCGUACUUGAAGUCCCUCGAACCAUCCACGAACAGUCCCUCGGACGGAAGACCGAAAGAACGGCCUCUCCAUAGUUUACAAGUGUACAGUCUUCAUGAUCUGGCGGCACUUCGCCAGAGAUAAUCGUCGCCGAAGAAUUAGAGGGAGAAGAUUAGAAACGCACUGGCACUACUAGGGAAAAGCCUAGCAGUAGCGCUGGUUUUUGGCCUAGCAGUAGCGCUGGUUUUUGGCCUAGCAGUAGCGCAGGGUGCCGCGCUACUGAUAAGGCGCUACAGCUAAAGGUUAGCAAUAGCAUUGGUCUACACACGCUACUGCUAUACGUACUUAGUAGUAGCGCUUUUUUCACAACGCGCUACUGGUAAGUACUAGCAGCGCGCCUCUGCGCCCGCGCUACUACUAUUAUUGCGUAUUAUAUUUCUUUUUCAUUUUAUGUCGUAUUCAUACACCGUUAUACAAGUUUUCAUAUAGUAGCAAUUUAGAGAUUGUUUUUACAUCAUAAUGAGUUAUUACAUCACUGGGUGAAAGAACCGUGGACUAGUUUCAAGUGGAUGGAUCCAUCCACUUGAAACUAAUCCAUCCACUUGAAACUAGUCCAUGGUUCUUUCACCCAAUGAUAUAAUAAAUCAUCAUCAUCAUAUCAUUAACAACUUAUCAUCAUAAUACAUCAUUGUCAUAUAACACCUUCUCAUGAUCAUCAUUUUCAUCAUUGAGACAUCAUAUAGAAAGUUGGUCACUAGUCAUAAUCACAACUCCUCAUCAUCAUCAUCAACUCUAACACAUUGUAGCACAUAAUAACACAUAGUACCUAGGACCUACUCCUCUCUCAUAGGACCUACUACCCUCUCUUAGGUAAAAUAGCAUAAAACAAGAUAGGCCCUGACUCUCCAUUAUGGAGAAUGGAGAUUAUCUUGGCUCCAAUUCUUGCGCUUCGCACAAUGUUGCUUCCAAGUAGCUCCCUAUGAUUGACCAUAAAUUUUUUCCAAUCUUUGAUUGUCAUGUCUUCAUCGGUUUUAGAAAUCCGGUAUGAACAGCAGUGAUUUUUAGGAUGACCUAGUUGUAAGUUCAUAACUUCGAGGCGACCUUUCUAAAACACCAGAUGAGGCACACGAUCCUUCAGGAUUUUCUGUUGAAAAACAUAGUAAUAACUUCGUAGUUAGCAAUGUAGUUGAGUUUUAGAAGAAUUUAUGCAAAAGAUGCACGGAUGUCGUAAUAGUAAAAAAUCUUACCAUGACAUCUCCAUGGAUGUUACCGUGGUUCAACACAUGCACUAGUGGCACGUAUUGACCAUAAUAUGAAGGAGUUUGAUAAUAGAUAUUGUAAUUCUCAAGAUCAUUAAUAAAUGAGAUCAGAUGAUUUUUCUCCUGAUAAGUUAAUUCUGAGCCAUCGGUGUAGUAGGUUCUGUCUACCAUCUUCCGCACAUUCUUUGAAGAAUGAAAAUAAGCUACCAAUGGAAAUAAGCUGUCAACCAUUUUGAAAUAAAUAAUAUAAAUUACUUAAUAACUAUGUUUGAGAAACUCACAUAGCGGUAGAAUUGGAAGUGUAUCAACAAGGACCCAAAUGUCCACAUUGUCUUUGGCGAUGUUAGGAUCACCAAGGUCCAUGGUGACAAGCAUACCCUCAUGAAAAGCAUAUGGCUUGCAAAGUGCUUACCAAUUCGGGCAACCAAAAUGGGUUACGCUCUCAGAAUUGUAUAGAUUUACAUCAAAAUCCAUACCAUGAUGGGUCCUUAGGUGAAUUAUCUUUGUUUCCAUACUUUCAUGAUCUUCAAAAUCCAUCCUCUCCAAGACAGUGUCUUGCAUGGCAGGGGAUAAGCUAGUCGAAUUGUAAAAGACGAAAAUUACACAUUGAAGAAGCAGAAGUCGUGCUUAAUUACGAAAAAACACUUGUCGUCGUUGCAUACCGUUUCAACAUCGAAGGUCUCCUGGAGCUUAAUGCUGAAGCGCCAACCUUCUACCAGGUGAGGCAUGCCGCACAGACCCCGAUCGUCGCCGCACCAGUCGCACUCCGUCGGGGGACUUUUGUCGUCCGACGACGACAUCGACGACAUUUCCUAUGUUCGUAAUUCAAAGAUUAAACUUGUACAAUUAAAUAUAUGUACUACAAAAACUAAAUUAGAUCAUUAUUAUUCAUCAUGGUUGACUACCGGUCUAUCGAGUCUUUUCUUGAAAACUAUCAGCUCACGUGGUGUAUACAUUCGACCGUUAGUGAUGGUCGCUCCUCCUUUCAUUCCCAAGUGCAUUACACCAAAAUGGCUAGCACACAGGAACGAAGGAGAAGCGACCCCCACGACAAUAGUCGGGUUUUUUCGUCCUCUCAUAUAUGGUGGAGGCUCUCCCUCACUGAUUCCUCUCUGACAUUUAUGACUGUCGGUGAUGGUCGUUACUCCUCCUUCCCCUAGUGCAUAACAAAGGUCUAGCACAAGGAGAAGAAGGAGAAACAACCCCCACGACAACAGUCGGGAUUCUUCGUCCUCUCUCAUAUAUGGUGGACACACUCCCUCACUGAUUUUUCGACCAUCGGUGAUGGUCAUUAUUCCUCCUUCCCCUAGUGCAUAACAAAGGUCUAGCACAAGGAGAAGAAGGAAAAACGAUCCCCACGACAACAGUCGGGAUUCUUCUUCUCUCAUAUAUGCUGCAGACUUUCUCCCUAGCUCAUUUGUUGGUUGUCAUGUAUGGAGCCUCGACAGACUUAAAGUCAACCCGAAAUGUCGUUUAAUUAUCUUUCUAGAAAAUUCCGGCCACUCGAUAUUUCCUACAUAUUAUAGCACAAGUCAUGCCAAAAUUCACGGAAAAAUUCGGCAUGACCUUUGCUAAAAAAGGACAUAUCGAGCGCCUGAAAUUUGCCAGAACGGAAAUUAAUCAACACUCCAGAAAAACAUAGGCUACUCGGAGGUGUUACCUGCAAGCAUGGUCGGCCACUUGGGCAAGCACAUAUCCUAUUUUAGAAACACAAGAUAUACAUGUUUAUAUAUACAUCAUAUGAGCAUUCAAACGUGAAGGUCAUUGCAUUUCAAUGGUUGAAAAGAUGAACAAAAACAUUUCAAAAUAUCUUAUCGGACUCAUAUUGACAUGGAGAUUUGGCUGGUCUCACCUCGAGAUCGGAGGGGUUCGGUGGCGGGGAUGAUGGAGGGGCUCCUUAAUUUCUGCAAAAACAAAAACCCUAUAAGCUAUCAACUAAUAAAAUGCAUACGCCUUGCAUAGUGCUCUCCAAUUUGAGCAUUCAAUAAGCAAAACUAAAUCAUAAAAUAAAUUAGUAUUCAAAUUAGCAUGCAUUCAAUAAGCAAAACUAAAGCAUCUCUUGCAUUCGUACAUCGUCGAAUAUUAUCACUAAUACAUCUCGAAUAGUAUCAUACAUAUAACGUUACUAAUACAGCUAAAACCCUAGCAAAUGACGGGUAUCGGUGCGGGCGGUGGACACCCAAAGGGAAGUAACCAUCACCGUGUCAUAGCUCCAGUGAGGUCCCUGAAGAACCUGCCAGGUAUUGUCGAACCUGCCCUCCAACGCAACCAUGUAGCGAUGGAGAUGCUCAUCCUCCUCGCUGACACGGUGACGUACCAUCUCCGCGGGGGACGAAAGCCUCCACACCGUCACUAGCCCACACGACCGCCACCAAAGAAGGUUCAGGUCAACAACGGGCUGGCUCCUCACCAAGCUGCGGCCCCCGGAAGCUCCCAGUACCAGCCCGGCGGAGCCCAAUCCCAGACAUGGCCCCUCUGAUCAAGCAGGCCUCCUCCGCCGAGUCCACGACGAGGAUGCGGGAUGAUACGUCCAUUUUGUAUCAUGUUUUCUUACUGUUAUUUAUAAUGUUUUUAUACAUAAUAAUGCUUUUUGGAGUAAUUCUAAUGCCUUUUAUCUCAUAAUAUGCAAGGUAUACACAAACAGGGAGAAUUCCGGGAGCUGGAAAUCUGGACCUGGAAAAGCUACGUCAGGCUGCCUAUUCUGCACAACUCCAAACAAGCUGAAAAUUCACGGAGAUUUUUUAUGUAAUAUUUGAGGAAUAUUGUAGCAAAUAACUACCAGAGGGGGCCAACCAGGUGGGCACAACCCACCUGGGCGCGCCAGGGAGCCCCGACGCGCCCUGGUGGGUUGUGCUCACCCAGGCCCACCUCCGGUGCCCAUCUUCUGGUAUAUAGGUCAUUUUGACCUAGAAAAAUAAGGAGAGGACUUUCGGGACGGAGCGCCUCCGUCUCGAGGUGGAACUUGGGCAUGAGCACUUCUGCCCUCCGGUGGAGCGAUUCCGCCGGGGGAACUUCCCUCCCGGAGGGGGAAAUCAUCAUCAUCAUCAUCACCAACAACUCUCCCAUCUUGGGGAUGGAAAUCUCGACCAACAUCUUCAACAGCACCAUCUCAUCUCAAACCCUAGUUCAUCUCUUGUGUUCAAUCUUGUUACCGGAACUAUAGGUUGGUGCUUGUGGGUGACUAGUUGUGUUGAUUACAUCUUGUAGUUUAUUACUAUAUGGUUUAUGUGGUGGAAGAUUAUAUGUUCAGAUCCAAUAUGCUAUUUAAUACCCCUCUGAUCAUGAGCAUGUUUAUCAUUUGUGAGUAGUUACUUUUGUUCUUGAGGUCACGGGAGAAAUCAUGUUGCAAGUAAUCAUGUGAACUUGAUAUGUGUUCGAUAUUUUGAUAGUAUGUAUGUUGAGAUUCCCUUAGUGGUGUCAUGUGAACGUCGACUACAUGACACUUCACCAUAUUUGGGCCUAAGGGAAUGCAUUUUGGAGUAGCAAUUAGAUGGUGGGUUGCGAGAGUGACAGAAGCUUAAAUCCCAGUUUAUGCGCUAUUCCGUAAGGGACCGAUUGGAUCCAAAAGUUUAAUGCUAUGGUUAGAAUUUAUUCUUAAUACUUUUCUCGUAGUUGCGGAUGCUUGCGGGAGGGUUAAUCAUAAGUAGGAGGUUUGUUCAAGUAAGAACAGCACCUAAGCACCGGUCCACCCACAUAUCAAAUUAUCAAAGUACCGAACACGAAUUAAACCAACAUGAUGAAAGUGACUAGAUGAAAUUCCGGUGUACCUUCAAGAACGAUUUGCUUAUCAUAAGAGACCGUUUUGGCCUGUCCUUUGCCUCAAAAGGAUUGGGCUACCUUGGUGCACUUCUGUUACUAUUACCGUUACUUGCUCGUUACAAAUUAUCUUGCUAUCAAACUACUUGGCUACUUACAACUUCAGCACUUGCACACAUUACCUUGCUGAAAACCACUUGUCAUUUCCUUCUGCUCCUCGUUGGGUUCGACACUCUUACCUAUCGAAAAGAGCUACAAUUGAUCCCCUAUACUUGUGGGUCAUCAAUGCUAUUUUCUGGCGUCAUUGCCGUGGAGUGAAGCGCCUUUGGUAAGUGGAAUUUGGUAAGGAAACAUUUAUAUAGUGUGCUGAAAUUUAUUGUCACUUGUUACUAUGGAAAACAAUCCAUUGAGGGGUUUGUUCGGGGUAUCUUCACCUUGACCGGAAUCACAAUUAGCUACCCCUCAACCUAGUGCACCUACUGAAAAUAUUUAAUAUGAAAUUCCUUUGGGUAUGAUAGAACAACUGCUAGCUAAUCCUUAUGCAGGAGAUGGAACCGAACAUCCUGAUAUGUACUUGAUAUAUGUAAAACAAAUUUGUGGAUUGUUCAAGCUUGCAGGUUUACCCAGAGAUGAAGUUAUGAAGAAGGUUUUCCCUUUAUCUUUUAAGGGAAAAGCAUUGACAUGGUAUAGGCUAUGCGAUGAUAUUGGAUCCUGGAAUUGGAAUCGAUUGAAAUUGGAGUUCCAUCAAAAAAAUCCUAUGCAUCUAGUUCAUCGUGAUCGGAAUUAUAUAUAUAUAAUUUUUGGCCUCGUGAAGGAGAAAGUAUCGCUCUAGCUUGGGGGAGGCUUAAGUCAAUGUUAUAUUCAUGCCCCAAUCAUGAGCUCUCAAGAGAAAUUAUUAUCCAGAACAUUUAUGCUCGGCUUUCUCGUAAUGAUCAAACCAUGCUUGAUACUUCUUGUGUUGGUUCUUUUAUGAAGAAGACUAUUGAAUUCCGGUGGGAUCUUUUGGAAAGAAUUAAACGCAACUUUGAAGAUUGGGAACUCGACGAAGGUAAAGAGUCAGGUUUUAAACUUAAGUAUGAUUGUGUUAAAUCUUUUAUGGACACCGAUGCUUUUCAAAAGUUUAGCACUAGAUAUGGACUUGACUUUGAGAUAGUAGCCUCCUUUUGUGAAUCAUUUGCUACUCAUGUUGAUCUCCCUAAAGAGAAGUAGUUUAAAUAUCACCCACCUAUUAAAGAAGAAACUAAAGAACCGGUGCCGGUUAAAGAAGAAACUAUACUUUGCAAUGUUGAGCCAGUUGUUCCUUCUGCUUAUAUUUAGAAAUCACCUUUCCCUGUUAGGAUAAAGGAACAUGCUAAAGUUUCAACUGUGGUUAACAAAAUUUAUAUUAGAACACCCAAACCUGAUGAAAAAAUUAAAGUAGAACCUAGCAUUGUUAUGGUUAAAGAUCUCUUAGAAGAAGAUAUGGAUGGGCAUGUUAUUUACUUCUGUGAAGAAGCUGCUAGAAUUGCCAAAUCUGAUAAAAAGGAUAAACAUAGGCCUGUUGUUGGCAUGCCCAUCAUCUCAGUUAAAAUAGGAGAUCACUGUUAUCAUGGUUUAUGUGACAUAGGUGCUAGUGUGAGUGCUAUUCCUUACACCUUAUAUCAAGAAAUUAUGAAUGACAUAGCACCCGCAGAGAUAGAAGACAUAGAUGUUAAUAUUAAACUUGCUAAUAGAGACACUAUAUCACCAAUUGGGAUUGUUAGAGAUGUUGAAUUCUUGUGUGGGAAAAUAAAAUACCCUACUGAUUUUCUUGUUCUUGGUUCCCCACAAGAUGACUUUUGUCCCAUUAUCUUCCGUAGACCUUUCGUGAACACCGUUAAUGCUAAGAUAGAUUGUGAGAAACAAACUGUCGGUGUUACUUUUGGUGAUAAGUCUCAUGAGUUUAAUUUUUCCAAGUUUAGUAGAAAGCUUCAUGAAAAAAGAAUUGCCUAGUAAGGAUGAAUUAAUUGGUCUUGCUUCUAUUGUUGUGCCACCUACUGAUCCUUUAGAACAAUAUUUGCUAGACCAUGAAAAUGAUUUACAUAUGCAUGGAAGAAAUGAAAUAGAUAAGAUUUUCUUUGAACAACGUCCUCUACUUAAACACAACUUGCCUAUUGAAACUCUAGGAGGUCCUCCUCCGCCUAAAGGUGAUCCUAUGUUUGAAUUAAAACAAUUGCCAAACACUUUGAAAUAUACUUAUCUUGAUGAAAAGAAGAUAUAUCAUGUUAUUAUUAGUGCUAACCUUUCAGAACAUGAAGAAGAAAGAUUAUUGAAAGUUCUAAGGAAGCACCGAGAUGCUAUUGGAUAUACUCUUGAUGAUUUAAAGGGCAUUAGUCCCACUCUAUGUCAGCACGAAAUUAAUAUGGAACCUGAUGCUAAACCCGUUGUUGAUCACCAACGUCGGUUAAACCCGAAGAUGAAAGAAGUAGUAAGAAUGGAAAUCUUAGAACUUCUGGAAGCAGGUAUAAUCUAUCCUAUAGCUGACAGUAGAUGGGUAAGUCAUGUCAUUGUGUCCCUAAGAAAGGAGGUAUAACUGUUGUUCCUAAUGAUAAGAAUGAACUUAUUCCACAAAGAAUUGUUACAUGUUAUAGAAUGGUAAUUGAUUUUAGAAAAUUAAACAAAGCAACUAGAAAAGAUCAUUACCCUCUGCCUUUUAUUAAUCAAAUUCUUGAAAGAUUAUCUAAGCACACACAUUUUUGCUUCCUUGAUGGAUAUUCUGGUUUUUCACAAAUACCUGUUUCUCAACCUGAUCAAGAAAAGACCACUUUUACUUGUCCCUUUGGAACUUAUGCUUAUAGAUGUAUGCCUUUCGGUUUAUGUAAUGCACCUGCUACCUUUCAAACAUGUAUGACUUCUAUAUUCUCUGACUUUUGUGAAACGAUUGUUGAGGUUUUCAUGGAUGACUUCUUUGUUUAUGGGAAGUCUUUUGAUGAUUGUUUAAGCAAUCUUGAUCGAGUUUUGCAGAGAUGUGAAAAACAAAUCUUGUCUUGAAUUGGGAGAAAUAUCACUUUAUGGUUAAUGAAGGCAUUGUCUUGGGUCAUAAAAAUUUUGAAAGAGGUAUUGAAGUGGACCAAGCUAAGGUUGAUGCAACUAAGAAAAUGCCAUGUCCUAAAGAUAUAAAAGGUAUUCGUAGUUUCUUAGGUCAUGCUGGUUUCUAUACUAGAUUUAUGAUGGUUGUUUAGAAGCCUUUGAAACACUCAAGAAAGCCUUAAUUUCUGCACCUAUUGUUCAACCACCUGAUUGGAACUUGCCUUUUGAAAUUAUGUGUGAUGCUAGUGAUUAUGCUGUUGGUGUUGUUCUAGGACAAAGAGUUGAUAAGAAACUUAAUGUAAUUCAUUAUGCUAGUAAAACUCUAGACAGUGCUCAAAGAAAUUAUGCUACUACUGAAAAAGAAUUCUUAGUAGUAGUGUUUGCUUGUGAUAAAUUUAGACCUUAUAUUGUCGAUUCCAAAGUAACUGUUCACAUAGACCAUGCUGCUAUUAAAUAUCUUAUGGAAAAGAAAGAUGCCAAACUUAGACUUAUUCGAUGGGUUCUCUUGUUACAAGAAUUUGAUUUACAUAUCAUUGAUAGAAAAGGAGCUGAGAACCCCGUAGCUGAUAAUCUAUCUAGGCUUCAGAAUGUGCUUGAUGACCCACUACCUAUUGAUGAUAGUUUUCCUGAUGAGCAGUUGGCUGCAAUAAAUGUUGCUCAUAGUACUCCUUGGUAUGAUGACUAUGCUAAUUACAUUGUUGCUAAAUAUUUACCACCUAGCUUUACAUACCAACAAAACAAAAAAAAUCUUCUAUGAUUUAAGACACUACUUUUGGGAUGACUCACAUCUUUAUAAAGAAGGAGUAGAUGGUAUUAUUAGACGUUGUGUACCUGAGCAUGAACAUGGACAAAUCUUACGGAAAUGUCACUCCGAAGCUUAUGGAGGGCAUUAUGUUGGAAAUAGAACUUCUCACAAGGUAUUGGAAUCUGGAUUUUAUUGGCCUACUCUCUUCAAGGAUGCCCGUAAGUUCGUCUUAUCUUGUGAUGAAUGCCAAAGAAUAGGUAAUAUCGGUAAGCGUCAAGAAAUGCCUAUGAAUUAUUCACUUGCUGUUGAACCAUUUGAUGUUUGGGGAUUUGAUUACAUGGGACCUUUUCCUUCCUCUAAUGGGUAUACACAUAUUUUGGUUGAUGUUGAUUAUGUUACUAAAUGGGUAGAAGCUAUUCCAACUAGUAGUGCUGAUCACAACACCUCUACUAAAAUGCUUAAGGAAGUUGUUUUCCAAAGGUUUGGAGUCCCUAGAUAUUUAAUGACUGAUGGUGGUUCACACUUUAUUCAUGGUGCUUUCCGUAAAAUGCUUGCCAAGUAUGAUGUUAACCAUAGAAUUGCAUCACCUUAUCAUCCUCAGUCUAAUGGUCAAGUUGAACUUAGCAAUAGAGAAAUAAAAUUAAUUUUGCAAAAGACUGUUAAUAGGUCCAGGAAGAAUUGGUCUAAGAAAUUAGAUGAUGCACUUUGGGCUUAUAUAACAGCAUAUAAAAAUCCUAUGGUAUGUCUCCUUAUAAAAUGGUUUAUGGAAAAGCUUGUCAUUUGCUUCUUGAGUUAGAACAUAAAGCAUAUUGGGCCAUCAAAGAGCUCAACUAUGAUUUCAAACUUGCUGGUGAAAAGAGGUUAUUUGAUAUUAGUUCUUUAGAUGAAUGGAGAACCCAAGCUUAUGAAAAUGCAAAAUUAUUCAAAGAAAAAGAUAAAAGAUGGCAUGACAAAAGAAUCCAAAAGUGUGAGUUCAAAUUUGGAGAAUAAGUUCUUUUUUACAACUCUCGUUUCAGAUUCUUUGCAGGAAAACUCCUCUCAAAAUGGGAAGGCACAUAUGUUAUCGAGGAGGUUUACCGGUCUAGAGCCAUUAAAAUAAAUAAUUCCGAAGGUACUAACCCAAAGGUUGUCAAUGGGCAACGAAUAAAACAUUAUAUCUCAGGUACGCCCAUUAAUUUUGAAAGUAAUAUUAUUCAAACUUUGACAUCGGAAGAACAUAUAAAAGAGUCUUUCCGGAACACUCCAGAAUCGUGAAAUAAGGAGGUACGUGAUACGGUAAGAAAACGGACUCCGAAAAAUCCACAAAAAUAUAUUUUUUAUCAGUUUCGGAAUAUUUAAAAAUUUAGGAAAUAAAGAAACUUCCAGGAAGCGUACCCUGGUGGGCACAAGACACCAGGGCGCGCCAGGCGCGCCCAGGUGGGUUGUGCCCACCUGGGACACCUUCCGGACUCUGUUUUUCUACCGUAUGCUUGUCCUCCAAGAUAAAAAAAAUCUAUAUAUACUUCCUGAACCUGUUGAUCACCGUAUCGCGGAGAAAAUCCUCGGUUCUCUUUUCUUGCUGUUGUCGGUCAGAUUUAUCAAGCCAGGCAUCAUGUCUUCCUCCUCCUCCACCAAUAUGGAAGAAGAUGCUUGGUUGAUGAAGAUUGAGCUUAAGAGGGAGGAGCCCACGGACGCCGUCAAGGGGGACAAGGGCAAGAAGGCUACCGUAGAUCCACCCUCGGUGGCAGAACAAGCACUACCUGCCGAGGAGGAAGAGGGAGAUAUCCUUAAGCCUUACCUUGCUCACCUUGCCCCUGCUGAGAUUGAAGCCUUUCGCAUCAUUGAAAUAGUUCGCAUACAAAAUAAGUAUCUUACUCGCGAAAAUAUUCUACAUCAAGAGCAUAUCAUCCAUCUCCGGAGUGUCAUCCGUCGUUUGGAGAAUCUCUUGAUCCUGAAGGACAGGAUCGCUUCAUCACCACCAUCAUUUUCCUCACCACCAAAGGAGAAUUGAGUAUCGGGUAUGGGCACUCCCCUGGCUUCCGCCAAGCUUGGGGGAGGUGCCCCAGUAUCGUAUCAUCCCACUAUCUUUUUGCCUUUACUUAUUUUAGUUCGAUCUUUUGCCUUAGAUGAAUAAAAGUUUUGUUCAAUCCUUUCUUCUUUGAGAGUUUGCUUAGUGAUCUAUCCUUGUAAUCGUGUGCAAGUUAUAUAAUAAAGUUUAGUUUGAGUUUUUUUUGCUUUCUUUGCUCUCAUGUUACAAAUAAAAGAAAAGAAAUAAGGAAAUAAAUAAAAGGAAAGAAAUAAAUGAAGAAAAGAUCAUAUACUAAUCCUAUGGUAGGUGAUGACACCACAUAAGGAAAAGUAUAAGUAGAAAAUUUUAUUAGAUAUUGACAAACAUAGCAUUAGUCAAUGAUGCAACUCAUGAAAGAAUUAAUAAGGGAAGAGAAGAUUCACAUAUAAAUAUACUGUCCUAGAAAUCUUUUGUGAUUGUGAGCCCUCAUCGAAAUAUUAUAUGCCAAAAUUGUUGGUUGGACAAGGAAGACAACUUAAUGGUUUAUGUUUGUUUAUAUUCACAUAGAAGUCAUAUUGUCAUGGAUCCUUUAACAUGUGGUGCUUGCCCCCUAUCUUUGCUAGCCAAAAACUCCACACUAAGUGUCACGACCGGUUUUUCAAUAAAAUAAUUAUUGAGAAACCAAUCCCUGUUACGGACCAGCGAGGAAGAAUUCCUUCUCACUGAUAGACAAUACAUUGGUCACAGAAGAAAAAAAUACCAGGAGUACUAAAUAUAAUACAAAGUUGAGCAGAGACUGCCCAACAAUUUAUUACAUGCACGCCGAUAAAACAAUACGGCGGAUAGGGUGGCAGACUACUAACUCACGAUAAUGACGAUGGUGGAGAUAUCACCGCGAGGCGAGUGAUAUGUCUCCAGAAGACUACAGCUCUUCGAGCGUCGGAGUGAGACUCGAGAAGACUUAUUGCGGGUGGCGGAAGCGUAUACAAUACAAGUGACCAAAAACCGGGAUCGCACAGGACUGACUGGGACUCCUCUAGGCAUCGGACGCGCUAUCAAACUCUUCAUCCAAGAGAUCGCCUUCGUCAACAUCUGGCCAAAUCAACAAGCCAGGUGAGUACUAUGAAAGUACUCGCAAGACAGUUCGGACAUAAGGUAUAACAAAUGCAAACAUGAAACACAUGAAUAAGUUAACCAGUGCGAUCAGACAUAGAGAUAAUAAAUACUGGGUGCCAAGCGAGGGUCUGAAUGACGCCUCGAGCGGAAACUGCCGAAUAGUAAUACGGGUGCCAAACGAGUGUCUGAAAGACUCCUCGAGAGGAAAAUGCGGAAUAAUAAUACAGGUGCCAAACGAGUGUCUGAAAGACUCCUCGAGCGGAAAAUGCGGAAUAAUAAUGCAGGUGCCAAACGAGUGUCUGAAAGACUCCUCGAGCGGAAAAUGNNNNNNNNNNNNNNNNNNNNNNNNNNNNNNNNNNNNNNNNNNNNNNNNNNNNNNNNNNNNNNNNNNNNNNNNNNNNNNNNNNNNNNNNNNNNNNNNNNNNNNNNNNNNNNNNNNNNNNNNNNNNNNNNNNNNNNNNNNNNNNNNNNNNNNNNNNNNNNNNNNNNNNNNNNNNNNNNNNNNNNNNNNNNNNNNNNNNNNNNNNNNNNNNNNNNNNNNNNNNNNNNNNNNNNNNNNNNNNNNNNNNNNNNNNNNNNNNNNNNNNNNNNNNNNNNNNNNNNNNNNNNNNNNNNNNNNNNNNGGAAAAUGCGGAAUAAUAAUACAGGUGCCAAACGAGUGUCUGAAAGACUCCUCGAGCGGAAAAUGCGGAAUGAUAAUGCCACAGUCGGGCGCCGGGGCGACACCACAUAAAGGGCUUAUAACAGAAAGUAAAGGCAGUGCAUGCCGCAGUCGGACGUCUGAGCGACAUCACAUAAAGGGCUUAUAUCGAAAGUGAGAAACGAGUACACGCCACAGUCGGACGUCUGCGCGACGUCACCUAAAGGGCUUAUAUCACAUUUCAUUAUUACAACAGCUCGGAGACAUAAAUUAUCACAAGCAUGAGACACAAAAUAAAGCUUGUCCAUCCACUGAAAUAACAAUGAAACCUGAGAUUUUACCCCUUGAGCUUGUUCACCGGGGACAAGUUUUUCACAUGGAUAGAUAUGGAUAUAAUGUAUACACUACUGAUCAUGGAUACGAUGAUUUGGAAAGAAUUGACUCUGCAGAGUUUGUACUUAACCACAGCCAACGGAUUUCAGUAGUCACGGGGACUAGUUCCGUCUACGGUGUUCUGGAAGGAACACGUCUAACCAGUACACACCCAAUUCAACCAUCCGAAGCCAGGGAUCACCCUCGGCAACAUUCAAGAAAAACCUUGAGUCGGGGAGGCUACAACCUCGCGUAGCAUGGGAUCAAAUUUCUAUACGCGCUCUAUAAGGGGGUGCCCCCCCUCUCGGUCCCAACCGGAAACACCCAUGCCCCCUGACCGAAUGACUACCUUUAAUCCUGGGCCAAGGUACCAUCAUCCCGGCCUCUCUGUUUGGUGUGUACACGGAAAGAGGUUACCAACUUACUAAACCGUAUCCUGGCAAUGAGACAUGUGGUAGCACGGAAAGGGGAAGGGACGAUAACACGGCUCCAACCAUGUUAACGUUGGCAAAGUCGGAUGACACAAGGCUGGCAUGCUAAAACAGUACCACCUUGCUGCCCUUCAUGUCACCACAUGAUUAGGCCACCUCUCAUCAGAGGUCAUCGCAACUUUGGAACAUGCGGGAAAAGAUCGAUAACGUGGCUCCAACCACGUUAACGUCCAAGAAAGUCGGAUGACGCAAGGCUGGCAUGCUACAACAGUACCACCUUGCUGCCCUUCAUGUCACUACAUGAUUAGGCCACCUCUCAUCAGAGGUCAUCGCAACUUCGGAACAACCGGGUCGUUGCCUUACGAGCAACGAGAUAUUUACCGACACUCAUAUGCCACACACAAACUUUCACAUGAACAUGCAAAACUUCUGCCAUAUCAAAUGUCCAAACAUGCUUGCCUGGUUCGGAGAAGUCAGAAUCUAGCUCGGCGAAGUUCGCGGCUCCGUCACCUCUCCCGGAACCUACGGCAAUCACGAAACGGGUACUAACGUGAAAACCAACACAUGCACAGAAACUUUGCCAAAUAUUUCCCAAAUAAAUCCCAUAAAAAACUAGACAAAAUUUUAAGAAUGUCAGAAAAAGAAUCACUCAAAAAUACCUUUUUAUUAAAAAGUUAUAAAGGUUUCUGUCCAGGGACCUUUCUGUAAUGAAACAGAAAAGUUCCAGGGUUUUAACUGAGAAAACAGAAAACGGUUCGUUUGGAAAUGCGCAAGCGCAAGAGAGAAGACGUAUUUUGCCCGAAGGCGUCAACAUAAAACGGUUCGGGGAAAUAGAACAGAGGCUGACACGUGGGGCCCGCAUGUCAGGUUUGAAAAGGCUCGCCGGCGCCCGAAGACGGCGGUGGACGCCGGCGUCGAACCACGGCGAGUUAGGAGAAACGAAGGGUACCAAGAGCUUCGGUGUCUUCUUCCGCGUCGGUGGGUGGUGGACUCGUCCAACGGGGAGCACCACGUCGACGGCGACACUAUCUCCGGCGGACGGCGGCUCGGGUGAGGAUGGGGAACUCCGGUGGAGGGCUGCAAGCUUCAAAUUGACGUGCGGGUCAGAACGAGAGAUGCAUGGUGAAGUUACUGGCAAGAGAAUGGAGGCUGCGGAGCACACACGGGGGCGAAUCGGGCUGGAUCCCGUGGCGGGUCGCGGCGGCCGGAGUCGAGGAAGGAGACCUCCUCGGGGCUCUUCCAGUGGCUAGGCGUGCUCUAGAGGAAGUGCAGGGCUGGUGGGUGCUCGAGUUGAAGCUCGGGACCUCUAUUUAUAGGCAGAUCGACGGGGUGGCCGUGAACGGAGAAUCUCCGGCGAGCGAUUACGGCGGAGCAGUGGGUUGGCAGAGGGUUUGAGCGGUCGGGCAGCAUCGGUGGAUGUUACGGGACUCGUUUUGCAGCUAAACGGAGCUGGCCCUGGCGUAAUGGCGUCUGCCCACGGUGAGGUGACCGCACGGGCUCAACGGCGGUAGAGAGCGCGCUCCGCGCCCUGCGGUUCACGACGAGAGCGGCAGCGCAUUCGGGGGAGUGGACGGCCACGCGGCGGGCUCCGGUGGUUUGGGCGGCGCUGGGUGGAGUCGUCGGCGCCGUGUCUCCCGCUGGCGUCCGCAAAGCCGCCGCCGGCGUCGGUCACGGGGCGGCGCACCUCCUGUUGCCCGUCACCGACGCCCGCAAGGUGCCAGGCGCUCGUGCGGUGCAGGAACAAGUGGGCGAGGACGAGGAGCAAGGCGACGCGGCGGUACUGGCGAGAUCGAUGCCCGUUUCUGAAGAAAACGACAGCAAGCACUGAACUGAAACUCUGAAGUUACUGAAACUUGACAGUGACCAUGCAUUGCAGGUGUUCGACAGUAGGUUUUAGUAAAGAGGUAAAUUUUGCUGGAGCUGUAACUUGGUGAGAUGACCACUCAAAGCACCCAGGGGCUGCAUGAAUUUAUUUGGAAUUUUUGGAGAAGGUUUUGAAUGAAUUUCACCAAAUUUGCCAAAUCUGGUCCAAACUUGCAGCUGAUGUAGUUUGAAAAUUUUGAACUGGAGACCUAUGGAUCUUCAUGGUUCUAGGUUGAGGGUUCAAAGGACUAGGAGGGGAAAGAAGUUUGGUGGUAAAAGUCCAAAUAGAAAAUGGAGUUCCUUUGUAAAUCUCCAAGAGGUAGAAUAGAAGGCAGAAAAUAUUUGAAUAGAAUUUGAAUGGAAAAUAAAUACAUGGGGAGGUUCAACUUGCUGGAUUUGAUGUAAAUCAUGAUCCAGAGGUGAGGGAGUGUUUAGGAGAGAGGAUUUGCACUUAUGCCAUGGCAAGAAGGAAUAGUUGAAAGUGGCAAAGUACCUUCCAAAAGCCAUAGUGCAAAUUCAGAAAAAGGUUUUCAAAAGUUCUUUUCCCAAAUGAAAAAAAAACAUUUUGUCUUGAGUCCAAAUGAAGAGCAAGAACUCCCAAGGUCAAAGGCAGAUCUUGGGUGAAUCCAAAUAAAAUUUUUGCCAUAAAGAAAAUAUAUGAGAGGGAGAGUUCUCUUGAAGAAAAAAUUUUAAAUCACUCCCCUCAAGUCAAAUAAAAUCUUUUCAAAAAAAUCCAAAUAAAAACUUGGGUGCCACACUAAGUAGAGAUACUACUUGUGCAUCCAAAAAACGCUUAAACCUAAAUCUUCUUUUCAAGUGUCCACCAUACCUACCUAGGGAUUGAGCAAGAUCCCUCAAGUAAGUUGUCAUCGGUGCAAAAAGGCAAUAAAAAUUGCUUCUAAAUGUGUGAGAUCAUUUAGUGUAAGAGAAAAUUGAGUGUUGCACAAACUUGUGAUGGUGAAGAAUAAAAGUGACAGACUGCAUAAUAAAGGUCACUAUCACAAGGAGCAAUGCAACGUGACGUUCUUUUGCACUAAGGGGUUGAGCAUACAAACAAAUAAGCGCAUGGCAACCUCUGCUUCCCUCUGUGAAGGACCUAUCUUUUACCUUUAUGUGUUUACUUUUAUGCAAAGAGUCAAAGUUUUCCUUCUAUUCUUUUUUAUUUUUCUCCUUUGGCAAGCAUCAUGUGGUGAGGAAAGAUCUAGGCACAUAUGUCCAGUUGAAUAUAGAUAGCAUGAGUUAUUAUUGUUGACAUCACCCUUGUGGUGAAUACGUUGGGAGGCGAAACUAUAGGCCCCUAUCUUUCUAUGUGUCCGGUUGAAACUUUUUGCUCAUGUGUACGCGGUGAGUGUUAGCAAUCAUAGAAGACUAUAUGAUGGUUGAGUAUGUGGACUUGCCUAAAGGCUCCGAUACAUGACCCUUCCUGAAAAGAUGAUGAAUUGUAGUUGCAAAGUUGACUGAGAACAUAGUUUGUUAGUUUUUAAUAGAGUUUUUGCUUUAUACUUCGAUUGUGUGAUGAAUUGUUACUUAUUCAUGAGAAGUAUAUGGUAAAAGUUCUAUAAUAAAAGUCUUAUGUUUAAUUUUGUUGUUGUUAUAAUAAUCAACAUGAUGCUUCUAUGUCCGUAUUUUCUUUUUAUCGACACCUCUCUCUCAAAGCAUGUGGACAUGUUUUUCGAUUUCGAUUUUUCGCUUGAGGACAAGCGAGGUCUAAGCUUGGAGGAGUUGAUACGUCCAUUUUGCAUCAUGUUUUCUUACUGUUAUUUAUAAUGUUUUUAUCCAUAAUAUUGCUUUUUGGAGUAAUUCUAAUGCCUUUUCUCUCAUAAUAUGCAAGGUAUACACAAAGAGGGAGAAUUCCGACAGCUGGAAAUCUGGAUUUGGAAAAGCUGCGUCAGGCUGCCUAUUCUGCACAACUCCAAACAAGCUGAAACUUCACGGAGAUUUUUUAUAGAAUAUUUGAGGAAUAUUGGAGCAAAUAACUACAAGAGGGGACCCACCAGGUGGGCACAACCCACCUGGGCGCGCCAGGGAGCCCCGGCGCGCCCUGGUGGGUUGUGCUCACCCAGGCCCACCUCCAGUGCCCAUCUUCUGGUAUAUAGGUCAUUUUGACCUAGAAAAAAUAAGGAGAGGACUUUCGGGAUGGAGCACCGCCGUCUCGAGGCGGAACUUGGGCAGGAGCACUUUUGCCCUCCGGCGGAGCGAUUCCGCCGGGGGAACUUCCCUCCCGGAGGGGGAAAUCAAUGUCAUCAUCGUCACCAACAAAUCUCCCAUCUUGGGGAGGGCAAUCUCCAUCAACAUCUUCAACAGCACCAUCUCAUAUCAAACCCUAGUUCAUCUCUUGUGUUCAAUCUUGUUACCGGAACUAUAGAUUGGUGACUAGUAGUGUUGAUUACAUCUUGUAGUUGAUUACUAUAUGGUUUAUUUAGUGGAAGAUUAUAUGUUCAGAUCCAAUAUGCUAUUUAAUACCCCUCUGAUCAUGAGCAUGUUAAUCAUUUGUGAGUAGUUACUUUCAUUCUUGAGGUCACGGGAGAAAUCAUGUUGCAAGUAAUCAUGUGAACUUGAUAUGUGUUCGAUAUUUUGAUAGUAUGUACUCCCUCCAUUCCUAAAUAUAAGUCUUUUUAGACAUUUCAAAUGGACAACAACAUAUGGAUGUAUGUAGACAUAUUUUAGAGUGUAGAUUCACUCAAUUUGUUCCGUACCUAGUCACUUGUUGUAAUCUCUAGAAAGACUUAUAUUUAGGAACGGAGGGAGUAUGUUGAGAUUCCCUUAGUGGUGUCAUGUGAACGUCGACUACAUGACACUUCACCAUAUUUGGGCCUAAGGGAAUGCAUUGUGGAUAGCAAUUAGAUGGUGGGUUGCGAGAGUGACACAAGCUUAAACCCCAGUUUAUGCGCUAUUCCGAAGGGACCGAUUGGAUCCAAAAGUUUAAUGCUAUGGUUAGAAUUUAUUCUUAAUACUUUUCUCGUAGUUGGGGAUGCUUGCGGGAGGUUUAAUCCUAAGUAGGAGGUUUGUUCAACUAAGAACAACACCUAAGCACCGGUCCACCCACAUAUCAAAUUAUCAAAGUACUGAACACGAAUUAAACCAACAUGAUGAAAGUGACUAGAUGAAAUUCCCAUGUACCUUCAAGAAUGAUUUGCUUAUCAUAAGAUACCGUUUUGGCAUUUCCUUUGCCUCAAAAGGAUUGGGCUACCUUGUUGCACUUUUGUUACUAUUAUCGUUACUUGCUCGUUACAAAUUAUCUUGCUAUCAAACUACUUGGCUACUUACAACUUCAGCACUUGCAAACAUUACCUUGCUGAAAACCAUUUGUCAUUUCCUUCUGCUCCUCGUUAGGUUUGACACUCUUACUUAUCGAAAAGAGCUACAAUUGAUCACAUAUACUUGUGGGUCAUCACGGGAUAGGCAUCGUCGACGUCGAUGCGGGAAUAAUUGCUUUAAUUAAAAAUAACAACAAAUGUGACAUGUUCAAAAUAUGGCAUGUCCACUUCAAAAUGAAUCAACCUAGAAUUCUGUUAAAUACACCUAAAAAUAAACUAGUUCUAUUAAUUUUCUUACUAAAAUUAAACUAGUUCUAUAGUAAAAUUUUAAUUAGAUCAUCAAAUCUCAUAUACCUGAAUUUUCUUACUAAAAAUAAACUAGUUCUAUUAAUUCAACUAGUUCAACUAAGCACUUACUAUAAAUAAAAAUAAACUAGUUCUUACUAAAAAUAAACUAGUUCAACUAGUUCUAUUAAUUUUCUUACUAAUUCUAUUAAACACUUACUAAAAAACAGUAAAAAAACUACAUUAUACAAGAACAGUAAGAAAGAGUUUAGGGUUUAGGAGAGAUGGAGGGAGGAGGGGUCGAAGGAGGGAGGAGGAGGAGGGAGGAGAGAGGAGGAGGGGGAGGAGGGCGGUGGGAUCGNNNNNNNNNNNNNNNNNNNNNNNNNNNNNNNNNNNNNNNNNNNNNNNNNNNNNNNNNNNNNNNNNNNNNNNNNNNNNNNNNNNNNNNNNNNNNNNNNNNNNNNNNNNNNNNNNNNNNNNNNNNNNNNNNNNNNNNNNNNNNNNNNNNNNNNNNNNNNNNNNNNNNNNNNNNNNNNNNNNNNNNNNNNNNNNNNNNNNNNNNNNNNNNNNNNNNNNNNNACCUCAGUGGAGGAGGAGGAGGAGGAGGAGGAGCGUCCGCGAUGGCGAGCGACGACGAUCGUCGGGGAACGGCGGCGGCGGUGGAGGACGGGGGGUGCGGGGAGAGUGAAUGAGAGGGAGAGUGAGAGGGUCGGCCAUGCGGGGACGAUAAGUUAGGUAUAGUAGUAGCGCGGGUUGAAGAAAAGAGCUACUACUACGGAGCAUAGUAGUAGCACUGGAUAAGGAUACGCGCUACUGCUAAGUGGGGCUAGCCAUGUGCGCCCAGUUCAAACUUCGCGACAGCACGUUUUGCUAACACGCGCUCCUGCUAACAGUAUAGCAGUAGCGCCUUUUACUGCCACGCGCUACUACUAAGUAGCAGUAGCACUUCAUUUUAUCCAGCGCUACAGCUAAGAUUAUGUGUAUAAGGUUUUCCGUAGUAGUGUGGGCUUCUAAUUUCGAGGAUUAAAGAGGAUCUAGAUCUAUCUCCAGUUGAAUCAACUAGAACUAGAGGAGGAUCCAAAAACUUGUUUGUCUAAAAGUUCCAAAACCUCAAGUAUAUGUAGGUUGGAGGGAGGGAAGGAGGUAGCCCACAAGAGAGGAAGUUUUCCCACGUUGUCCGGCCAAGAGGAGGGGUAUUUCCCCUCCCAUUUGGCCUCCCCUUCCUUCCAGAAGAGGAAAGGGGGCACCCCCUCCUAUUCGGCCCAAGUGGCCCAAUAUGCUUUGCACCACUUGGCAUUUUAAGGCCCAUUGAUAUUAAAUAAAUAUAAAAGCAUCCUAAUCAUAUUUAGAGCCUUUUAAUAUUAAUUUAACAUCACCAGAAACUAUUUCCGCCUAUAUAUAAUUAUCGGCAUUACCCAGUAAACCCCGAAACCCUUACGGCGACCCCGAAACACUUUUGGUUCCUCAUGAAACUAUUUCAAAUAUUAAUGAAAAUAUUUCAAAUAUUAAUGAAACUAUUUCAUAAUUAUUUCCUCUUUACUCCUGUCGUACUAACACUCAGCAGAUCAUGAUUACCUUAAGCUUGUGACCCUGUAGGUUUGGUAAAAACAUAGACAUGAACAAAACCCCUUUCGUCCAAUGACCGAUAACGGAACGAUGGACAUCCAUAUCGAUCCCUAUGAGUACAUGAAUGACAUUCGAGUGAACCUUUGUUUAUCAUGUGCUAUUCCCUCUGCUUCGCGAUACUUUACAAAAACCCAAGGUAUCCUCUUGAGUCAUUCCCAUGCUCACUAGUGUCGGUCUCCUCAUUACCGGUUUUGUUCUUCUUUCUCAUUGACAUGUUCCGGCAUCCCUGUGACCUAGUCACAUAUGUUUGGCCAAACGAUGAUGGAUGCCAUCACAUUGGGAGGGCACUAAAAAUAUCUCUCCAUCGUCGGAGGAGCAAAUGCCACUCUUGAUCUAUCUAGUCUCUUGUCAAACUUUACGAUGAACCUGUAAGUUGUCGUUGUGAUCACCGUGUUACAAAUGACGUUAAGCAACCCCAAAGUCCAUCGUACGGUAAGAAGUGACUGUGAUACUCUCAUGGUCAAAGGAACUAAAUCACACGUUAACUCUUCGUCUUAUAACAAUUGACUUGUGAUGAUUGUAUCUCAAAGUACAACAUACAAGUUUGGGUCGAUUCAAUAUGAUUGUUCUUCCAACGUCAUAUUCUCAAAGUUGUUUUAGGACUAUAGUUACACUUAACGCUAUCCUAAGAUCCGGAAAACAUGAUCACCAACAACACUUGAGCUAGUCUUAGAGGCGAGACUAGGAACCAUAUUUUACCAUUUAUCAUUCUACACGUGCAUAUGAGUUUUCCUCUGAAUUGCAUAUUCCAGGAUCAUAGCAGUUAUAGCAUAGAAUAUAAACUCUUAAUUAUAAACAUGGAAAUAUAACAAUACAAUAUUAUUGCCUCUAAGGAGUAUUUCCAACAAAAUAAGUUAAGCCCAACACCCCAAAACAAGUUCUUUUGGGAUUUUGACUUAGUUUGGCAGUUAAGUGGCUAUAAGCUACAAAAGAAGUGGCCCUUGAUUUGGGGAAAGAAAGAAGAGAGGAAGGGAGAACUCAAGAUGAGUUCGCGUUCAUGUUUUGUCAAGAUCUAUCCUACAUUAUUUCAUUGAUGCAAUUUGUUAAUGUAGAAGACAUGGAUGGUUGUUUUGUUUUUACUUAGUAGUAUUUGUUUCUUUAAGAGUAUGCUUAAGCGUACCGUAUUUUUAUAUAAGAUGGUAAACAAGUUUAGUGAGAUGCUAAAAGACAACCACAAACUAAUUGUUACGGUAAACACCGCACAACUAGGGCUACUCUCUCGCAGCCAAUGUGUCUUUCCCAUGAGCCUCCAUACAGAGUAUGAAGUCACCCACAAUUUGUCUGACCGUUCCUGCCCCAUUGUCUAUUGAGGUGUAUUUGAGAAAACACAGGCAUUUCGUCGCUUCCAUAGCCCCCAAUAUGUGAGCACAGACAAGGAGUCAAAGUCUCUCCGAGAAGUUGUUGGGAAAAUGCCACAAACAUUAAUCGACUGGUCCAAUAUCAUGUCCAUCGUACCUGGUGUAGCCAGCAUGGGAAAUAGCUCCACUAAACAAGCCCACCACACAUACCUUGCAUACACGCACAUGAUUAGUAGAUGGUCUGUUUUGCCAUGAUCUUGUACGCAAAGAUAGGGUGACAUCACAUUAUCCUGCAUCCCAUGACUUACUUAGCGAUCAGAAAUCCUGAUUUGAUACUGAAGGGCAAGCUAGGCAAAGAUUUUUCUAUUAAGAGGCACCCUAUCUUUUCACAACCAGUAAGAACCAAAAGCACGUUGAACCUUGAAAAAGCAUGUUGUAGACAAAGCUCACGUGUAAGUUCCAUACUUCCUCAAAACCCAAGAGAAUACAUCCUCCUGAUGCACAUUGUAUUCCACCACAACUAUAGCAUCCCAAAGCUUGAUGUAUUGUAUCAGACCCUGUGUAGCAAGGGCACCUCUAAUAUCCUUCACCCAUGCAUAAUCUGUAGCCCUUCAGGCACCAACAUGUUAUUGGUUGUAUUCAUAGCCACUUCGACCCAAACUAGCGGUGUGAUCUUGCAAGCCAUGCAACCGCUGAUCCGCCGGUAUUUCCAGAACAAAGCCUUAUUAACAUUACCAACCUGAACCCUAGAAAGACUGUAGAAGAUGGCAUUGGCCUUGGGAUCAGGAAUCAGAUCGAGGCCUUGCCAGGGCUUGGGGGGUCCAUGCGGCGCAACCAAUUCCAGCAAGCUCAUAGAGCAAGCCCAUGCAACUCCAAAUUCUAAUGCUGAGACCACCAAGUAAAGGGGCAUUUCCCUCCCUAAGUGUUUAGGUGUUGAUGACAACUACAAUAUGCAGACUAACCAUGUGCUUGAGCUACACAUGCAUAUUCUAAUGGCACAAGAGUGUUGGGUACCCCUCUAGAAGGAAAAGUUCAAACGCGACAUUUCUGACGCUUUUAUUUCUUUCGUCGUACAAAAUCCAUACUAUUAAGAGGGGGUUCGUGUUGGAAGGUACGGGUGAAAUCAAAUCAUGUACACAAAAUUUAAACUGCACCCACGAUACCUUCCCAUAUGUUUUUGAGGAGAGAACCAAAUUCUACCAAGUGUUGAAAAAGCUCACCCGGUAGUACCGUUGUGACGGGCGGUAGUACCGCUCCCUUGUGGGAGCAGCACUUGAUGAGUCCAAUUUUUGUGACAACUUUUACCUUUCAUUUCGUAGUUUAGGAUAAUUUGGAAUUUAUUGCGUUCACGCACCCUUUUUUCACCGGGAUGUCCUGGACGGGUAUCAUUUGAAGUUUAAGGAAAGAAGGCCAAUUUAUGUUGAAGAAACACGGUAAUUAAUGUGACAAAACUCUACCAUAAAAAGGUGAAACAAGAGGGAGAAAAAAAUAGCUCACGCAGAAGGCCCCAGAGCCGCCCAUACCAGCGGUCGUACCGCGUGCCACCGCCAUUGUCUGGUCAAUGACUUCUCCCCCGUGCAAGCAGAUCAAGGAGGAGAGUUAGAAGACAUUCAGAACAAAGAACACUAGCUUCCGAAAGGAUUCCUGAUGGGGAAUUGAUUGAAUGCACACAUGAUCAUGUUGAAGUCUCCUAUGAUAAGAAAUGGUCCAAGCCAAUCUGCACGAUGGGGGACCUUCUAUAUGCCGCUCAUUGCGGCAAAGUGCCGGCGUUGCGCAGAGGGGGGCCUAACGUGGCCGGCCCAUUUUCAGUGGCACGCGGAGGCACGUUCGCAAGAUGAAAAAAUGCAAAAAUUAUGAUCACGCUUGCGCUGAAACUCGAACCCACAACUUCAUAGUGAUUGGCGCGCCGGGCAAGCCACUUGGACAAAGAACCUCCCAUGUUAGAUUUGCGGCGGGACAGUCAAAGAAACAUAUGACAGUGACAAAACUUUAAUAAUAAUUUGCAAAAAAUCCCAAAACUACAACCGUGUAUGGGGUUGAACCGAGGACCUCUUGCAACUGAAUUUUUCGAAAUUACGAAUAUUUUCUCUAAAAUGUGAACAUUUUUUGAAUUUUUUAACAAAUUUUGAAAAGCAUGAACAUUUUGAUGAUGUGAAUUUUUUUGAAAAGUAGGAACAUUUUUUUAAUUUGUGAACAAAAAUAAAAAAAGUGUACAUUUUUCAAAAUUCCAGAACAUUUAUUGAAUUUGUCAAAAACAUGAAAAUAUUUCGAAUGUGUGAACAAAUUUGGAAAGCUGGAACAUUUUUUGCAAUUCACAAACAUUUUGUGAUUUUGUAAAAAAAUGAAAAUAUGGACAAGUUUGAAUUUGUGAACAAAAAAUUAACAUGCAAAUUGUUUUUGAAUUUACAAAGAAAUUUUCGAGGCACAAACAUUUUUUGAAUUUGUGCACAAAAUGUCAAAGUAGGAACAAUUUUGAAAUGAUGAAUAUUUUGAAUUUUCAAAAAAAAUGAAAACCCAAACAAAUUUGGAAACACGAACAAUUUUGUAGUAUGGGAAAAAAAAUUGAAAAAUAAGAAAAAAAUCGAAAUUUAUGAAAAUUUUAUGAAAACAGGAACAUUUUUUAAUGUAUGAAUAAUUGUGAAAACAGUGCUAUUUUCUGAAAUAUCGAACGUUUUUUAAAAGAAUGAACAUUUUUAAAAUUUUCCAAACAAUUUUUGAAACAUGCGGUUAUUUUAAAAAACUUGGGAAAUAGAAAAUAAAUUUAAAAAGGAGAAAAGGAAGCAGAAAAAUGAGAAUGAAAGAAGAAAAAGAAACAGAAAAAUGAAAAAAGAAAAACCGUGGAAAACCAAAAAACAAACAGGGAAAUCGGGAAAGAAAACAAAACAAGCUCCGAAAACCAGAAAAAACGGCUGGAAACCUUACAAAACCGGGAGCGGUGAGACGCUUAAACGGGCCGGCCCAAUCAGAACGAUCGCUCGAUGUCCUGUGCGAAACAGCGACAUCUUGACACAAAAUGCGUCAAAUACGUUCCGCGCGGUCCUUGAGAUCCAAAAGGAAUUGGGCUAUUUCCUGACCACUUUGAGACCCAUAAAAACAACGAUUAUUCGGCAGGUCGAUUCAGCUCAUCAUACUUCUAAUACAUGGAGUUUGGGAAGCUAAUCUGCAUGAAAAUUUGAUUUUACUAACAGGCACCACAAUACUACUAUCUUUAGACAUUGUACAAUUCCAUCCAACAAAAACCUAUGAUAGGUGAAAUACUUGUCUUAGGCUGUGUUCGGCAAUCCACCGCUCCGUCAUCAGGGAGCGGAGCGCCCUGUUUGCCACUCUCCGUAUUUAUACUAUAUGCCGCUCCGCUCCUCGGCGGAGAGAUUCCGAACGGUCUCUCGACCCCAUGAUGGUAGUCCCUGUAUCUUGCAUUUAAUGGUCUCUCGACCCCAUGAAUAAAUUCCAUCGGUUUGUCUAAUUCACAUCUAGAUGUUUUUUAAGGAUGUUACAUCUAAGCUCCCACAAAUAUAUAAUGCAGCAACAAAAAAUAAAAAAGAUUAGAACAAAAAAAUAGACCACAAACAGAGUGGACAUCAGCUUAGAUGUGACAUAAUUAUGUCACAUCUAGAUAUGUCCUAGACAGACCCAAUAAACAAUGCCAUACAUGACUACGAAAUUUUCAUGCGUUGUACAUCAGCACCGUUAGAGUCGUACAUUCCUACAUUUGUGGCAGAAAGUGGGAAAAUAUGUUGAACUACACCUUCAAGUAACUCCUAACAAGAUUUACAGCUAAUAACAACAAUGUAACAGGAUUUACACGACUUCAGACGAUAAAAGUUCAGGAUAAGCCAAAACUCUUGGACACAACACAGUUGACACUGCAAAAUGUUUUUGUUCAUACGGAUAUUUUUUCUUCUUUUGCUUGCUGCAAAUGGAGCACAGACAAACCAUCACGUACAUUCUUUAAUGCCUUCUCUUUGUUUUGUGACGGUAGUGAUCCCUUCUUUCAUAAUCAUCUGGACGGCCAUCUUCCAUCGCCCAUCUAUCCCUUCCUACGUGGCCAACUGAAGAACCGACUUUUGUUUUGUCAUGUCUUGAACUCUGGCUAGAUCUUUCUAUCUUGCUAUCACGUCUGUAGUCAGUCGCGUAAUCAGUUUCCUGGACCCGAUGUUUAUGUCCAUAUGCGUUUUUACUAGAUUUGUGCCCUGUCAUCUGACCUAUCCACGCGAAUAUUUUCUUUAUGACUUUGAUGACGAGUAUUUUCAGUGUACUCACUUUUGCCUUUUGCCCUAAUUUCAUCUCUUUUUCCUGAAGCACUUCUAUCAUGCUGCUUGUUCAUCUGCCUAGUAUCGUGGAUAGAGAUGUUAGGGAUGUCAUGCACUUCGGAAGUAGAUUGCUUGGUGUAGUGGCUCCUCAUUUCUCUUCCAUAUGAGCCCAAUUCCUUUCGAUGUUUCUGAUCAACUAAUUCGACAUCUGAUGAAUAACACAGAUUCUCAUGGGUAGGGCUACAAUAUUUAUCCUUGUGGUGCCUUUUUUGAACUGUUGUGUUACUUUCAUGGUAACCCCUUUCAUAACUCUUUUCUGGUUGAUAUUGCUCUUGUGAUGUUCUACCAUCCUCAUCAUGAUAAUCCGCUGAAUUACUGUCAUAGUCAUUCUCCCUGCAGAAACAAAUAUCAAUCCACACAGUCCAAACUUAGCUGAACCAAAAAACAAAGGUACAAAACACAAUCCUAUAGCAAGUUCACUGAGCUCUACAUCCAUUGUGG
rnacentral:lncRNA from 1 species